rnacentral:lncRNA from 1 species
UUUUUGUUUUUGUUUUUUUAGGUGAGUGGCUGGAUCAUGGUGAGCAUGACUACAGGUUCUUUGGCAGCCAGUUCUCGGAGCUCGAGCGUGUAGCUAUUGAUCUUAGCCAGGGGCGUCCUCCCGAAAAGACAAGAUCUGCUGUUGUGAAGGGGCGGUUGGGAGCUCUGAGAGGUUCUACGGCUACUUGUGCAGAGAGCCCUACUACACCCAAGAAUCCCAUUAUGGAAUUGAUAGACAACGAUAAUGAUGUGUUUGACAAGAUUGCUGGCGUGGGAAGAGUCACGAGGAGCGCUGCUGCCAAAAGUUUAUCUCCCCUUGCUGGAAUAGUGGCUCGUAGAGCUGGUGGUGCUAGGAAAGAUCCUGCUUUGGAUUCUUGCAAUGUUGUAAGCACGAAGCGCGCACCCAGAGCUCCUAUGAAGUUUUGCUCCCCUGUGCAGCAGCGUCACCCUCAUAAAUUCCCUCACCUGGACAAGGCUCGCAGGUUGUAUAAUCUGUUGCUUAGUGAUGAAUGGCGUGAGAAGUAUGCCGAGUGAGUAUCUCUCAUUAUUUUUCCUCUUCUUUUUCUUCUGUUGUUUGUAACUGCUAGAUAAAUAUGACCUAAAUUGUUCCUUUUAUACAACUUGAACUGCUAUGAAUGCCUUAUCUUGCUUCUCCUUCUUUUUGUUCUUGUGUGUGCUGCAGGAAUACAUUCUCAAUGAUACCUCGGCCUGAUGAAAGCGUAACUAGCUUCAUUGGGAAUCGCAUCUGGGAAGUUUUUUCACCUGGGCAAAUGAUGGAGGGUGAUGUAAUGGACUUCCUCAUUGAUGACUAGAAGCAAGAUCCUGAGAGAAAUGCUGAUUUCGCAUCUGGGAAAAGGGUAUUGCUGAGUCCAUAUUUCAUCACGGUAAUCAAUCAGAUCGGUUUCUUUCUGUUGAACAAGACUGCCUAUUGUUUUUACGAGUUUCAAUAAUACUUUCUUGUUGAUCCUUUUCCGUGUCUAUUUCUUUUUUGGCUUUUUUGUAGGUUGUGCUUGACUGUACGUUUUACGGUGAUGAAAAUAAAGUGUUUACUGUGGAGAGUGCAGCGAGAGAUUUCAAGAGCUAUGUUAAAGAGAAGGAAGACUUGCUCAGUGCCGACCUUGUGAGAUCUACUAGCUGAUUUUUGGUUUUAUUUGUUUGUUGUGAUGCUGGUUUUUAUUUUGAAUAUUUAACAUCUCUUUUUUGGUCAUUUGUUUUUAGAUCAUGAUGCCUCUAUUCAAGCCUAUGAUUUUAGGAAAGGAUAAGAAAGUGAACCACUAUUCCUUAUAUGUCAUGAAUCGGUACCGAAGUAGCAUUGACAUCCUUGACUCUUUACCUUAUCCAAAGAACCACCAUCCUUCAAAGAACACCUAUCAUAAAGACUGCGAGAAGAUUGUGAGUGACAUUUAUUAUCUGUACUGGAUUAAUUUUUCUGCAUCUUUGUUUCUGCUUUUUCUAAGACCUACAAAUGUGUUUUUUUUUACAAAUUUCUAGAUUGGUCAAAGUAAUGAAGGUUGUGUAUGGUGAUGCUCAGUACAAUGCGAGCAAGCAGCCCAAUUGGGAGCUGUUUGCAAAGAAACCAACGUUUGUCAAGGUUCCACUUCAAGGGCAAAAUGAAUGUGGCCAUUAUACUCUGAAGUAUGUGGGAUCCUAUGAUGGUGAAAAGAUCAUUGAGAACAUUCGAGAUAAUGACGUGGGUUCUAGUUGAGCUUUUCACUUUCUGUUUUUGGCUUAUUGUGUAUCUUUUUUUAUGUGUCGUGAUUUUUGAUAAUUUGUUUUAUUGUUUUGUAGCCAUGUAUUGUUGAUUGGAACGCUGAUGAUCUGUAUAGAGUUGUGUUCAACCGGAAUAGCCAGCUUGUGGUGACGGAGCUUCCCAAGGAGGUUCAGGCUUUCGCUCCUGAUGCAUAGGAGAAAUGGUCAUUGAGGGAGUCCCGGAUUAGGGGGUGCUCGGAUAGCCGAACUAUCAUCGUUGGCUGGACUCCUGGACUAUGAAGAUACAAGAUUGAAGACUUCGUCCUGUGUCCGGAUGGGACUUUCCUUGGCGUGGAAGGCAAGCUUGGCGAUACGAAUAUGUUGAUCUCCUACCAUUGUAACCGACUCCGUGUAACCCUAACCCUCUCCGGUGUCUAUAUAAACCAGAGGGUUUUUAGUCCGUAGGACGAACAACAAUCAUACCAUAGGCUAGCUUCUAGGGUUUAGCCUCUUUGAUCUCGUGGUAGAUCUACUCUUGUACUACCCAUAUCAUCAAUAUUAAUCAAGUAGGAGUAGGGUUUUACCUCCAUCGAGAGGGCCCGAACCUGGGUAAAAACAUCGUGUCCCUUGUCUCCUGUUACCAUCCGCCUAGACGCAUAGUUCGGGACCCCCUACCCGAGAUCCGCCGGUUUUGACACCGACAUUGGUGCUUUCAUUGAGAGUUCCUCUAUGUCGUCGCCAUCAGGAAGGAUGCCUCGUCCCGUCUUUAAAGACGACACCGUUGCUAAAGGAGCUUUGGCCAUCGGCCAAACUCUCCGGCUAGGCGGUUUUCUUAUGACCGCCUUUCGGCCGCCGCGCCGAUGAUGACUUCUCGGGUCAUCAAAAGCAAUCUUCACGUCAACUCGGAACUCGCCGAGGAGUUAGAUCCGAUGGAGCUCUCUUCCUUAAACGAGCUCUUGGAUCGCAUCGCCGCCCUGGGAGUCGCUACAGACUACGACCAGAUUGGGCCUAAAACCGAUCUAAGAGAGAUUAACUCUCCCCAGGCUACCCACCACAUUGCUGUGGUAGAGGAACAAUAUGGCGACCCUUCUUCUAUCCUAAGGACUAGCUAUGUCCAGAUUCAUGACCCCUCCAUGCCGGAUUCCCGCGGAGGGGAGAACACCACUCAAGCCCUGAACUUAAAGUCAGGCAGCGGGCUAGAUUCAUCGAACAACGUCCAAGAACCCAAGCUUCCAAGUUCGGAAACUUCUUGGCCCCUGAGUCUUAGAUCGGACGGGUUCGGAAUUUAACUCCACCCUCCCACCCAAACAUAAGCGAUCUAUCCCAAAUCCGGCAAGAGCCCGCUGAAAUAGUACAUCAUUACUGGGCCAGAUUCCUCCUGGUCAUGAACAGGAUAAAGGACUACCGUGAAGAGGACACAAUUUCAUUCUUCUGCGUUAAUUGCAUGGACGAAGGAAUCCUCAACGCCGUAAUUCAUCGCGAAAUUACAUGCUUUGCUGUUUUGGCGUCCAUAGUACAAAACUAUUGUGCGAUGGAGAGCGCCUGGAAAACUGAAAUCAAAUUUUGGGAUAAUCCGGCCUUGAACACAACCCUAGUCCAAAGUAAAAGGGUGCAUCAUUACCAGGCACCUGGGUUAAAUACCAAAAAGCAAAAACCCUCUAAAGGGCAUGGAACCGUACUGGGGGAUGGCUCAAUGGACCCUGCAAAAUUCAUAGUACAGAGGGCGCCACUCCAACUCAUAACCUUAGAGCAUGUUGGAUACUACGGCAGGUGGCCAAAAGUGGCGAAGAGCUUCUAGCUCCAGAGCACCAGCCCAGCAAUACCAGUACGGUAUUAACAGUCUUCGAAACUUUUGCAUCAAAUAAUAUGCGGAAACAAACACUCCGCAGCCUUGCCGAAGUCCACCAGGUAGCAACAAUAAAUCCAUGGAGUGACACGGCUAUUACCUUUAACGGCAGUGAUGAACCUAAAUUCCGAACAGCCCGAGCACCAGCCGCAUUGGUCCUCAGUCCAAUAGUGGACGACUUUCGCCUUACCAAGGUGCUCAUGGAUGGCGGCAGCGGAUUAAACCUCAUUUACGAGGAAACCCUUCGAGGAAAUAGACUGGAGCCGCAUUGAGCGAAGCAGCAUAACCUUUAGAGGAAUAAUCCCCAGUCGGGAAGCAUGCUGUACAGGAAAAAUCACACUGGAUGUGGUCUUCGGCACGCUGGAUAAUUACAGGUCCGAGGAGGUCACAUUCCAAGUGGCCCCAUUCAGCAGCGGAUACCAUGCUCUAUUAGGGCAAGAGGCAUUCACAAUUUUUCAAGCUAUACCCCAUUAUGGGUACAUGAAGCUCAAAAUGCCCGGACCCAACGGAAUCAUCACUCUUGCUAGUGACCCGGACAUAGCACUCCGCGCCGAAAAUAAAACAGCUGCACUCGCCCUUGAGGCACUAUCCGAAGCCCUAGCAGCCGAGGAACUCACUGCGCUGCGCUCCACGGCGAACAGGGACGAUGUGAUACUCGAUAAGAGAUCCAAGUCCACCUCUUUUAAACCGGCGGACGAAAUAGUCAAAUUCCAAGUCCAUCCAACGGACCCUACAAAAACAGCCUCCAUCGGGGCACAAUUAAACCCUGAUGUAGACGCCGCACUACAAGAAUUCCUACGCGAAAAUUGGGACAUCUUUGCCUGGCACCCUUCAGACACGCCAGGAAUCCCACGCCGGCUGGCCGAGCACAGCCUAAAUAUCCUAAAAGGAUUCAAGCCAGUCAAACAAGCUCUUCGGUGUUUCUCCGAACCCAAGAGACAGGCCAUGGGAGAGGAGCUAGCCAAACUAUUGGUGGCCGAAUUCAUUAGAGAUAUAAAACAUCCGGACUGGCUAGCAAACCUGGUAAUGGUACCAAAGAAGGAAAAAUCAUGGCGCCUGUGUGUUGAUUUCAAGGACCUUAACAAGGCUUGCCCAAAGUAUCCCUUCCCCCUUCCCCGCAUCGAUCAAAUUAUCGAUGCUACCGCAGGACACGAUUCAUUGUGCUUCCUCGACGCAUACUCCGGCUACCACCAAAUUCAGAUGGCAGAGCCAGACCAAGCCGCAACGGCAUUCAUCACUCCACACGACCCAUUCUGCUUCAACACAAUGCCCUUCGGGCUCAAAAAUGCCGGCGCAACAUAUCAGCGCAUGAUUCAGACAUGUCUGGCAAACCAGAUCGACAAAACAGUGGAGGCAUACGUAGAUGAUGUGGUCGUCAAAUCCAAGCAUGUCGAAACUCUAGUAGACGACUUGAGGCUCACAUUCGACAAUCUCCGAGCAUAUGACAUUAAGCUCAACCCAGAAAAAUGCGUUUUCAGCAUACCAGUCGGAAAGCUCUUGGGCUUCAUUGUAUCCGGUAGAGGAAUUGAAGCAAACCCAGCCAAGAUCCGAGCUCUGUCACAAUUGGAUAUCCCAAAAGACCUCAAACAAAUACAAAAAUUGACUGGAUGCGUGGCGGCUCUAAGCCGCUUUAUCUCCCUCUUAGGAGAAAAGGCAUUACCCCUUUAUCGCCUCCUGCGGCACACCGAACACUUCGAGUGGACGGAUGCCGCCACAGCCGGACUCGAAGAAAUCAAAGCCAUAUUGGCAACAAAUCUGGUCCUGUCCGCGCCCAACAUGGGCGAACCAAUGCUAUUAUACAUCACGGCAACCCAUCAAGUUGUAAGCGCGGUGCUCGUUGUCGAACAAGAAACGUACGGACACAAGUUCCCUCUCCAAAAACCAGUUUACUACGUGUCCACUGUCCUAACUCCAUGCAAGUCACGAUACCCGCAUUAUCAAAAGAUAGCAUACGCAGUGUUCAUGGCAUCCCAGAAGCUGCGACACUACUUCCAAGAGUGUUUGAUAACAGUAGCCUCCAAAGUACCUCUUAAUGACAUUAUAAACAACCGCGACGCAACGGGCCGGAUUGCCAAAUGGGCCAUCGAGCUCCUCCCGUUCGACAUAACCUACAAGCCACGGCGAGCUAUUAAGUCGCAAGUUUUGGCCGACUUCGUCGCCGAAUGGACCGAAGCCGAACUCCCUAAAGAGCACGGCGCAUAUUCCAACUGGAUCAUGCACUUUGACGACUCCAAAAUGUUGGCUGACCUAGGGGCUGGCGUCGUUCUGACGUCCCCAACUGGAGAUACAGUCCAAUACGUACUUCAAAUAAUGUACACGGACUCCAACAAUGCAUCUGAAUAUGAAGCCCUUCUACAUGGUCUCCAGAUGGCAGUCUCCAUGGGCAUUCAGUGCCUAGAGGUCCGCGGGGAUUCAAACCUCGCGAUAUCCCAAAUAAAUGGAGACUUUGAUGCCAAGGAUACGAAAAUGGCAGCUUAUCGCAACGUCGUCCUAAAAAUGUCAGCUCGGUUUGAGGGGCUCAAAUUUCACCAUAUAGCCCAGGAGAACAACCAGGCAGCAGACGUGUUGGCACGCAUUGGCGCAAAGCGCGAUGCCGCCCCUCCCAACAUCUUCCUAGAGAGGCUUUUCAAGCCAUCCGUAUUAUGGGAGGGAGAGUCCGGAAAUAACAUCCCGGACCCAACCACACUACCCCACACCGAACAUUCUGACAUAGUUGGUGGUUCUGCCAACGAAAUAACACCGUCAGCCCACACAAUAAUGGCAGUCAUUGCCCCAUGGACAGAACCAUUCCUAGCCUACUAAAUAGGCAGGAACUUCCCGAGGACCAAAACGAGGCCCGCUGCAUAGUGCGGCGAUCUAAAGCCUAAAGGUCCAUGAGGGAGAGCUUUAUAAGAAAAGCACAACCGGAGUCCUUCAAAGGUGUAUCUCCGAAGAGGAAGGGCGGAAUAUUCUGGCUGAAAUUCAUGCCGGACUCGGCGGGCACCACGCCGCAGCCCGGGCCCUUGUAGGCAAGGCCUUCCGUACAGGAUUUUAUUGGCCGACGGCCCGGGCAGAUGCUCAGGACUUGGUCCAACGAUGCGUUGGAUGCCAGCUCUUUGCUAAACAAAGCCACAUGCCACCUACCGCCCUCCAAACUAUACCCAUCACCUGGUCGUUCGCGGUCUGGGGGCUUGAUAUGGUUGGACCCCUUAAAGGAGGAACCCACAAGCAAAAAUACCAAUUGGUCAUGGUGGAUAAAUUCACCAUAUGGAUAGACGCAAAGCCUGUUAAGACGGCCGAAUCUAGACCGGUGAUAGACUUCAUAUCAGGGGUGGUACACCAUUACGGCGUCCCCCAUAGCAUCAUCACUGAUAAUGGCACGAACUUCACGGCCGACGAGGUCAAACUCUGGUGCAAAAACAUGGGCAUCAAGCUCGACUACGCUUCAGUCUAUCACCCUCAAACUAAUGGUCAAGUCGAGCGAGCAAACGGUCUAAUCAUGAGCGGCAUUAAACCCAGACUAGUGCGAUCCCUCAAGGAAUCUAAUACGCAUUGGGUAGAGGAGCUCGACUCCGUACUCUGGGGGCUGCGGACCACGCCGAAUCGCACUACCGGAUUCACACCAUUUUUUAUGGUGUACGGCGCAGAGGCAGUUUUGCCCGGCGACAUAAUUCAUGACUCACCUCCCGUGCGCAUGUACGAAGAAAGAGAAGCCGAGCUCGAUCGGCAGGACAGUUUGGACACCUUGGAGGAGGAGCGCGACGUGGCAAAAGCCCGUUCUGCAUUCUAUCAACAGCAGGCUCGAAGAUACCAAAGCAGAGAAGUACAGGCCAAAGCUUACAAUGUUGGUGAAUUAGUUCUAUGCCUGCCGGACAAGAAAAAGGACAAACUCAAGCCCAAAUGGGAGGGUCCCUUCAUCAUCGACCAAGUCCUGACCGGCGGAGCGUACCGUCUGUGGAACACAUCGGAUAACCGACUUGAGCUGAACCCAUGGAACGCAGCCCGUCUCCGAAGAUUCUAUGCCUAGCGCCGGACUCUGAGUUCGUCUCCUUCCUCCGUCUAUAUUUUGUACUUUAACUGUCUUUUAUUUCUCUCCUUCUCCCUCCUUUUUUCUGAAGCCGUUGGAGGCUCGUUUGUGCACUGUUCGCACACACUUGACGCGUUAUCUGCGCUCAGUAUACCUGGGGGCUUCUUUAACAGAAGCUUAUUUAUACGGGCUUUAUGCCCAACAGAUGUGUCACACUUCCGCAUGUACCUUUUAUUCACCAUUAUAUGCAUCGAUAUGACUUAAGUUUUGGCCAAGCUGGGUUGCCUGGCUCCUGUGCUUACCCCUACGUUCCCGAUUGUUCGGCUAGGUGGUAAAGGGAGCACCUCUGCGAUUGUUACCUCCGGGUCAGCCGGAUGUGUACCUCAGACUGGGUGAAGCCGAAAGCUAGCGUUCUUAAGGGAAUAUUCGGUCGGUGAACUAAAAGACGAUUUCUUACUUAUUCAUUUAUCUGCCCCCAGAUGUUUUUCUGCUUUUUUCGCAGUCCGGACAUGCACUUUAGGGCAUGCCUCCCAGGAAAAGGAACCCCUAACGGAACUAUUCUCCCUGGAAGAUGUUUCUUAAUAACCAUGUAAUAUAACAUAACUAGUUGGCACUUGUCUGAUAAAGCACUCAUGACCCCUACGCCUGGUCUCCACGCAUGCCCCGGUUCUUACAUAACCGCGAGGGUAUUCGAACACACUCCGGACUGUCGGGUCCCGAGGUUGAAGCGAAAAGGUCCGCUACGACAAACGAUCUACAAUCCGGAUAGAAGGCAUUCUACAUGUCAUUUUAAAUUACAUAGUCAAAUUGACUGAUUGUAUUCCUCUUCAAUACCAUCUAAUAAGUUGUCUAGUUUACAGUCCCGCUGGGAAUACUUUGCGGCCAACUCUACUGGGCCGUACAUUAAGCUCACAGGGAUCUCCUUCCCAUCGGGCCCCACAGGUCUGACCUCGGCCAUGUGGUUUGGGUCAGCCUUCGUGUACCGCGUCUUCACCAUGGCCCAGGCCUCCCUGGUGCCUCGACGGCAGGCCGAUAUCUUCCAUAGCCGGAAGCGCCGCCAUGCUCCCUGAAGCCUCUCUGCAAGCUCUCCAAGGCCUUCGAGUAGGGAGAUGGAUGGCUACAAGGCCUGGGCGAUGCCUCUCAUCACCUGCCGAACUCGUUCAUGCAGUUGCAGAAGCUCGGGAAGUAGGUCACCCAUUGAACAGGCCAUUUCCUCUACUGGACGACCUAUGAGCAUACCUACAGACAUAUUUCUGUUAGUCGACUUCCUCGCCGAACUCUUCUUUUCAAAAGUUCGCUCAAACACUUACUAUAAAUGCCGCUAUGAAGCCGCCGAUUCUCCUUAACGGAGUCAGACAGCUGGGCUCGAACAUCCUUUAGUUCCUCACCCAGCUGGGUGUUGGCAUCUUGGAUAUUAUUUUUCUCUUGCCUCACCCUUGUAAGCACAUUCUCACCGGCCUUUAACCGGCACAGGAGCUAUUGCUUGUCCGGAUCUAGUCUGGCGCCAUCUGCAAUAUUACUGUCAGGCUUAUACACACGCCGCACUUCACAAACUACUUAUAUUUCGAAGUAUAUAUCAGCAGAGGGGGUCUCUGUGGCCCCCCUUGUGGCGGCUAGUGCGGCCUCAAGCUGGUCCUUGCACUCUUCAAGCUCCUGAGACAGUCGGGUAUUCUUUUCCGUAAGAUCCUACAUAACAAAUGAUCCUUAAAUCAGUUCUCCUAACUAUUUUAAGUCUCGAGGGCUACUGGCAUAUAUACUGUCAAAUCUCCUCACCCGUAUGUCCUUUACAUACUGCUCCGUGGCUCUGGCUUGACCAUCUUGAGCGGCAUGGAGGUGCGCGUCUCCCGAAUUGAAGGCAUUCAAUGCCUCUUGGGAGAAACAUGCAUCACGAAGAACUGUUCGGCGGCGCCUGUGAUUCAUGGCACUCUCCAGCUCGGAGUUGGUGGCGGACAAUCUGUCGGCAUCCUCUGUCGGAGGAGCAUCUGACGCAUGCCUCGUGUUCACCUCCGCUUCCGGACCCGGCGUUGGAGCCUAGCUGGCGGAGGCUCGAUUGGCCAUCUCUCCGGACAUAGUCCGGCGAGCGCUCUUUUUCCUAGAAGGAGCACCAGUGUUAAUAUACCUUCCCGGAAUCAAUCCCGGGAAUAUGGUGACACGCCUUACCGCUGCGGUGGCGUUUCAAUCCGGACCGCACCUCUUUUUAGCCUGCGUGGCUGUGCUGCCCCUUGUUGGCUAGCCUCCGCGGGCUCGGCCUCCCGCCUCGAAGGCACCCCCUGCGAAACACCAUUGAUAUAUGGUGAUAAAUAAUAAGCACGGAUGGGUCAUUAUCAAAGUACUGGGGCUUCGGUCUCAGUUACCUGUGAGGCUGGAAGUAUUCCGGGGUAAUCGGCCGUAAUGGCAACCAAGGCAUUAUCGAUGCUUAGUUGGUGAAAUACCCCAUCAAUCAGCUCCACCAAUAUGUCCGGAUCCUUUCGGGAGGCUGGAUCGAGGAACCGUUCCAGAUCCUCGGGUUGCGGAGGCGGGCUGUUUAUAUCUUUUACGGCCUGGCGCAGUUCCUGCGCCGAAAUCACAAAAUGAGAUAUCUAACCAUGGGAGUACGGAUCGGAUGUGCAAAAAAGGAAAUGUCCGCUUACCCAGCUUCGAGGAUUGUUCAUAGAAAAUCCGUUCAAUGGACUGAUGCGGAGAAAAUCCUCCUCUUCCCCCUUGUACAGCGCGGACAAGAUCUUCACCAGAUCGGCGACCGAUCCCGGCCCCGUACGGCCGUGACAGGUGGCAUUGUCCUCCCCGUUGAAAUCCCACAUGGGGUGGCCCCUAUACUGGAGCGGCUUCACCCCUCGCAUAAUGCAGGUGUCCAUGACACCGAUCAUUGUCAGUCCGGAAUGAGCUAGCAACCUUAUUCGGCUCAUCAGGUAAAGGACGUCCCUGUCGUUUUCCCUCUGGGGGCUCCGUGGACGCCAACUUAGGCGUUUCUUCAAGGGAGCAUUACUGAACUCCGGGAGGCCGAUCUGAACGGGAUCCAGUAGCGGGGUGUCUUCUAUGUAAAACCAUUCCGAAGGCCAGUCUUCAGAUGCCUUCUUCGGGAUUCCAGAUAGAUAUCCGGUCCCGGCGAUGCGCCAUAGCUCGGCUCCUCCCACUUGAUAUAUUGACCCCUCAUGAGAACGGGGUACGAGGUAGAAUAAUCUCUUCCACAGCGCAAAAUGAGCCUCGACGCCCAAGAACAGUUCGCAAAGGGCCACGAAGCCCGCGAUGUGUAGAAUGGAGGCAGGCGUAAGGUGGUGCAGCUGGAGGCCGUAGAACUCCAGGAGCCCCCGGAGAAACGGAUGUAUUGGAAAUCUGAGUCCUCUUAUCACACAAGAGACAAAGCAUACCCGCUCUCCUUUGGAAGGAUCGGGGACGCUCUCCGCUUGCUUUCCGCCCUUAUAGGUGGCGAGUCCGGCUCGAACCGGAACCAUGAAGGCCGGGGGAAGAAAUCCCUUGGUUUGGAGCGUCACUAGCUUGCUAUGCGGGACUGAGCAUCUCUCCCAAUCCCCAGGCUGGGGGCUGGGAGCUUGAGAGGAGGAGCCGCGUCGACUGUCCAUGAUGGAAUGGAUUUUUUAUCAGAGGCGUUCCGAUGAAAGCUUGCAGAGGGGGGAUGGUGUGAUUCGGAUCUAGAUCCUCGUCUCUUUUUAUAGGCGGCUCAUUUGCGCAGCUAGGGGGAAAGUGUAAAAAUACCCUGGCUUUUCGCAUUCGUUCGACAUGUGGAAGAUGGCCAUUAUUGGGCGUGGAAGCCAAGGAGCGCAGCAUUUAUCAGAAGCCGGACACUAUUCGACAAGUAUAUGGAAUUUGGAGAAGAACCCGCCUUGCAAUGCCGAAGACAAUCUAUGCGCCGGACUCGUCGUCAUUGAAGCCUGGUUCGGGGGCUACUGAGGGAGUCCCGGAUUAGGGGGUGUCCGGAUAGCCGAACUAUCAUCGUUGGCUGGACUCCUGAACUAUGAAGAUACAAGAUUGAAGACUUCGUCCCGUGUCCGGAUGGGACUUUCCUUGGCGUGGAAGGCAAGCUGGGCGAUACGGAUAUGUAGAUCUCCUACCAUUGUAACCGACUCUGUGUAACCCUAACCCUCUCCGGUGUCUAUAUAAACUGGAGGGUUUUUAGUCCGUAGGACGAACAAUAAUCAUACCAUAGGCUAGCUUCUACGGUUUAGCCUCUUUGAUCUCGUGGUAGAUCUACUCUUGUACUACCCAUAUCAUCAAUAUUAAUCAAGCAGGAGUAGGGUUUUACCUCCAUCGAGAGGGCCCGAACCUGGGUAAAAACAUCGUGUCCCUUGUCUCCUGUUACCAUCCGCCUAGACACACAGUUCGGGACCCCCUACCCGAGAUCCGCCGGUUUUGACACCGACAGUCAUCAUUUGCGUAGUGAAUGGGAUAGUUGUGUGAUAUAUCUCUUGAAAGCAUUGUAGGCUCUAUUUGUAGUGUUUCAUGUCUUGUCGAGUACUAUGUAAUAACUAGUAUAUUUUGUGUUGUGCUUAAGUGUGGCACAAUGUUUAACAAACUUUUUUCCAUGAUGAUUGUGUGGUUGAAUAGUAGUUUCACUUGUGUAUGUUUCAUCAGGAAUUCGUUUUGGUUAAGUUUUAUUUUUUGUUCUGAAGACUUAUAUACUUGUUGAACUGAAAACACCUUUUUUCAAGUGUAUUACGAGUUGUUGCUGAGAAAGUGAGAUUUAUUUUAUUUUUAUCUGAUUCCAACCUAAGUUGGGCCUUUAUAGUUUCUGUACUCUCGUUUUCUUGUACUUAUGAUAUAGUUCUGUUAGUACUGAUUUGUAAUCUCAUUCAGCGUAAGGCUUUUAAAAUUUGGUGCCAAAUUUUUGUUUGAACUUCUUGAACUUUAGUAGUUGAACUUCAUAGUAAAAGUUAAAGCACUAGUUCAAAUUAUCUAUGUUUAAGAGAUAGCCCUAUUAAGUUCAAAACUAAUUCUUUCUCAAGGCAUUAAUUGGUAUCAUCAUAGCACUUAGCGAAUAAACUAAUAUGUACUGAGAUUUCAAUUUUGCUAGUACUUUGAUUAUUUAUUUAUUUAUUGUGUUGUUUGAAGCUAGUACGUCUUCUGUUGUGUUUCUUGUGAUUUUUCUCCUUGGUCGAACUGAUAUCUUUUUGAUUAGUUUUGGCCUUCUUUUUUCUAGGUUGUGGUUCUUCUCCUGGCAAUGUUUGGUAUAAUCAUAGCACUUGCCGUAUAGACUAAGUUGUACUGAGAUUUCAGUUGUAUUAUUACUGUUAUUCUUAGUGUGUCACUGUUUUAGGGAAUGCGAACUGAAGCUUCCCGUUCCUUUUUAUAUUUUGUAGAAUGAAUGUACUGUGUGUUCAAGUGUACCAGAACUUUCAGUCCUAUCAUGCUAGUGACUAGGAAAUACGUACUGAUGGUUCUUUGCUUUUCCUGUUGCAGUACUUAGUGAAUUUCUAACUACUAUUAGCAUGAUGCUUUUAGUACUGAAUGUUGUCCUCGGCUGAAACUUAGUCUUUUUUAGUGUUCUUCUGAAAGUAAAAACUGAUUUUUUUAGUAUGAUAGUACUACCGUACAUGUCUAAGCUGUACUGAGCGUCCAAGGCUACUAUUUGCUUUUGUCCUUAGUUAGUCUGCCACUGUUUUUUUGGGAAAAUAUUUAUGUGUUAUUUUUGUUUCUCCAUGACUAGUGCUGCGUGGGAGCCAUCAAGUUUCAACUUCAACCUACUUCAACUUCAAAUGAUGGAUCAACAAAAUAGGAAGCUAGCAAACUUGUUGGAUGACAUAAGCAAAUGAUGUACUUGAUAGACAUAGGCAAACUUGUUCAAACCCUGACACACAUAACAUAAGGUAGCUGGUUCAACAUAACGAAAGUAAACUACAAAUCUGAAACAACAAGACUAAGGACAGGCAGAAGCGCAAGCAACACGAAUGCAGACUUUCAUGCAUCUUCAUCCCGCGAAGUUGCAGUGGUAGUAGGGGUCAGCCUCCUGCUCUUUUGAAAUAUCCCAACCUGUCACGAUGUUGUCAAUUGUCUUCCAUGACUUGUACGUUGCGUACGCAUCUAUUCCUGCGUACGUGAUGAGGUUGUCUGGCAGCAGGCUAGUCCCCCACAGUUUGUGGUCUGCCCUGACCAUCUUAUUCUUCAUGCCGUUGUAGAAUGGGUGGAUGAUGCCGCCUGCAACAUCGUCCAAGGAGUCGUAGUAUUUGUUGGUCUUGGGAUCUUUCCACUUGCGUUGCAUGUCGAUGAAGUUGUUGGGGUUGAUCUCCAAACCAGACUUGUCUAGCAUCUGCUUGUCACCUCCAAUGCUGAAACCGACAAAUGUGUACAAUUUCUCCUGCUGCAGGAAGUCUUUGAGGCGCUUGGGCCUGCAAGGGUGGAGACACACAUUUAAAGAUUAGUCUUCUUUUUUGAAGAUUUAAUUCUUCUGCUUUUUUUUGGUUUUACAUGUGAUUAUCCAUGAUGUAGAUGCUUAUAUAUUAUAAGUCAUGGAUGAAUGUAGUUCAGAAACUAGUACACAAAGUCCUGAAAUUAAAUUCAACUACACCAUGUUAUUUAUUCUUUUUUGCUAUCUUCAUUGCUUCACCAAAUGCUUCACCAAAUUCAAGAACCAUUCUACCAGAGUCAAUGAUAUAUGUGCUGCUUGAUUCAAGUUUAGUUUUCUUUUUUGUUGAAUAAAAGACCUAUACCAGUGCUUGAUACAUCUUUGUGCAUUAAUUCUAUAUCAAGUUCAGAUAUUAAUUUGAGAAACAUGUGCAUCAAGAUAUAGACCUUUACCACUUCACCAAAGAUCUUUUAAUACAUCAAUUCUAUAAACUAUACUAGUGCAUCAAGAUCAGAAUCUAUGCUAGUACAUCAAGUUCAGAAAUUAAUUUGGUGCAUCAAGUUCAGAAAUGCUAUAAACAUUUUUCAGAUGCUAAUCUGGUGAAACAAUCCACUUCACAGUUUAAGAAAUGCAUGUAACUUGAGAAAUAUGUACUUGUGCAUCCACUUCACAAACUAUAGAAGUUCAUCUAGUUGGGAAACAAGUUUAAUUAAGUUUUUAGUGAGUAGUACUAGUACAACAGAUGAAUGGACAGUAGUAUGGGUUACCAUUUUGUGGCUGCUGCGAUGUGGUAUACCAAGCAGAGUUCCUCGACGCAGAACCGCAGGACUGCCGCCAUCUGUGGAGGUUCUUCUUUGUUGGUGUACUCCACAUCAACUCCGAUGAAGCUCGGAUACAAGCCGCCGCCCUUCAUCCUGAGCCUGCUCAUCACCUCGUCGGCCUUGUCCGGUACGCUGGUGCAGACGAUCUCCAGCAUCUCCUUGCCGUGGAGCUCAACCCCUUUGAGCGUUCUGGUGUACUCGCGCUUCUCACCGGGGACGUGAAUGUCGACGAGGUUGCUGCUCUUGUUCGACGUCUCGCCAUGGUGACGCUUGGCGGACAGUUCCUUUGCCAUUGCCUUCCUCCGGUGCUAUGGGCUUGGGAGAGAGAAGUUUUUGGUUUGUGUGCAGUGGAGAUGGAAGCGGCAAUGGUGGUUCUGUGAAUGAGGCAGAGAUGGAAGACAAUGGGGUAUUUUGCAGUGCGUCGACGGGGGUGUGUGGGAGGCGGUUCGUCAGGGGCGUGAGUGUAGUGGUCGUGAGGGCCGCCGUUUGCAGUGCCUCGUGGCAACCGCCCAGUGGGUGGCGCGGGUGGUGGCCUGGAAGAACUAACCAUUCAAGAAAAAUGUUUUUUACUGCUACACUGAUUAGUCUUGUCAAGUUGUAUUUACGAUCUGCUAAAUCCCACUUGCACGUCUCUGCGGUGGUGAUGAUGGCAUUUUGCACUGUUUAGGUGACGUAUGCCUUGUGAUGUUUUUUCCGUGUGGAUGUUAAGUAUUGUUUUUCCAUUGAAGUCUUAUACACCAGUUUAUCUCAAAACAUUUUUUCAAUGCCCUGGGAGUUGUUGCUCAAAACUUGUACUUAUUUUAUUUUCAUCUGUACCAACCUAAGUUAGGCCUUUAUAGUUUUUGUAUUCUCAUUUUAGUGCACUUAUGGUUUAAUACUGUGUGAACUGAAUUGUAAUUUCAUACAACGCACGGGUUUGAAAUUUGAUGUCACAGUGGUGUGAGUGGCCUGACUGAUCCUGCUGUUUUAGUACUGAUGUCAUAUGUAUGUUUGAACUGAGUUUUUUUUGUUUUUUGGAUGGGGGUGGGGGUUUGAGAUUAUUUUACGACCAGAUCGUUCGUUGAGGUGUGGACAUAUUAUAUAUAAAUAAGAAAUUUAGCAGAAUUGACAAAUAAAUUCUAUUUGAACUUUUUGCAUUUUAGUAGAACUUGUCAGAUUUUAUAUAAAUAAGAAAUUUAGCAGAAUUGACAAACAUUAUAUGUUUGAACUUUUUGCAUUUUAGUAGUUGAACUUGUCAGAUUUUAUAUAAAUAAGAAAUUUAGCAUAAUUGACAAAUAUUAUAUGUUUGAACUUUUUGAGUUUUAGUAGUUGAACUUGUNNNNNNNNNNNNNNNNNNNNNNNNNNNNNNNNNNNNNNNNNNNNNNNNNNNNNNNNNNNNNNNNNNNNNNNNNNNNNNNNNNNNNNNNNNNNNNNNNNNNNNNNNNNNNNNNNNNNNNNNNNNNNNNNNNNNNNNNNNNNNNNNNNNNNNNNNNNNNNNNNNUUGACAAACAUUAUAUGUUUGAACUUUUUGAGUUUUAGUAAUUGAACUUGUCAGAUUUUAUAUAAAUAAGAAAUUUAGCAUAAUUGACAAACAUUAUAUGUUUAAACUUUUUGAGUUUUGGUAGUUGAACUUGUCAGAUUUUAUAUAAAUAAGAAAUUUAGCAUAAUUGACAAACAUUAUAUGUUUGAACUUUUUGAGUUUUAGUAGUUGAACUUGUUAGAUUUUAUAUAAAUAAGAAAUUUAGCAUAAUUGACAUACAUUAUAUGUUUGAAAUUUUUGAGUUUUAUUAGUUGAACUUGAAAGUAAUAUUUAAUUCAGUUUUUUCAAUUAUGUACAUUUAACAGAUAGGCUAUUAAGUUCUGUUCUUUUUAGAGGUUCAUUGUUUUUGUAUCAUUUUUUCUCCUUUUUUCUUCUAGAGGUUAAUUGACAAACAUUUUUCUUAUAGUUUAUAUUUCUUUGUCCCGCCCUCUGGUUUUUAUACCUGGGCUUAUUGGUGGGGUAUUUUGUUGACGAUGCAGGCUAUUGGGCCGUUUUCCGGCCCAGUCAGCUCGUCCGCGCGGCUGUGCAGUGCGUCGUUCGCGUGCGCUCUGGGUUUCGUCCCACCUCGCUAGUCGAGGGGGCUCCGGACCUGUUUAUAAGCGCAGCCGAGGCUCACCAGUCGAACUCCUUGUUGGGGAACGUAGCCGAAAUUCAAAAUUUUCUAUGCGUCACCAAGAUCAAUCUAUGGAGAGACUAGCAACGAGAGAGACAGGGAGUGCAUCUUCAUACCCUUGAAGAUCGCUAAGCAGAAGCGUUACAAGAACGCGGUCGCUGGAGUCGUUCACGAAGCGAUUCAGAUCGCGGCCGAAUCCGAUCUAAGCACCGAACAACGGUGCCUCCGCGUUCAACACAUGUACAGCCCACGGACGUCUCCUCCUUCCUGAUCCAGCAAGGGGAGAGGAGAAGUUGAGGGAGAACUCCGACAGCACGACGGCAUGGUGGUGAUGGAGCUCGUGGUUCUCCGACAGUGCUUCGCCAAGCACUACGGAGGAGGAGGAGGUGUUGGAGGAGGGAGAGGGCUGCGCCAGGGGAAGGGUGCGGCUGCUCUUUCUCUCCCUCACUAUAUAUAGGGGGAAGGGAGGAGGGGGAGGUGCCCUAGGGUUCCCUAGGGGAGGGGUGGCAGCCACAGGGGAAACCCUAGAUGGGUUUGGGCACCCCCACCCCCUAGGAAAUUUGCCCCCCAAGUCGGGAGGGGCGGUUGCCCUAGGGGUGAUGCCCCCACCUCUCCUGGUUACGUGAGAUGGGGUGGGAGGGGCGCUCAGCCCCUUAGUGGGCUGAUGUGCCCUCUCCCCUUGGCCCAUGAGGCCCCCCAACGCUUGCCGGGACCUUCGAAACCCCUUUCGGACACGCUGGUCAUCACCUGGUACCCCCGGAACAAUUCCAGACUCCAAUACCCUUCGUCCAAUAUACCGAUCUUCACCUCCGGACCAUUCCGGAGCUCCUCGUCAUGUCUGGGAUCUCAUCCGGGACUCCGAACAACCUUUGGUAACCACAUACUAUUUCCCAUAACAACUCUAGCGUCACCGAACCUUAAGUGUGUAGAGCCUACGGGUUCGGGAACCAUGCAGACAUGACUGACACGUUAUUCGGUCAAUAACCAAUAGCGGAAUCUGGAUACCCAUGUUGGCUCCCACAUGUUCCAUGAUGAUCUCAUCAGAUGAACCACGAUGUCAAGGAUUCAAGCAAUCCCAUAUGCAAUUCCCUUUAUCAAUCUGUAUGUUACUUGCCCGAGAUUCGAUUGUCCGUAUCCCAAUACCUCGUUCAAUCUCGUUACCGGCAAGUCACUUUACUCGUUCCGUAAUGCAUGAUCCCGUGUCUAACUAGUUAGUCACAUUGAGCUCAUUAUGAUGAUACAUUACCGAGUGGGCCUAGAGAUACCUCUCCGUCAUACGGAGUGACAAAUCCCAGUCUCGAUUCGUGCCAACCCAACAGACAGUUUCGGAGAUACCUGUAGUGCACCUUUAUAGCCACCCAGUUACGUUGUGACGUUUGGUACACCCAAAGUACUCCUACGGUAUCAGGGAGUUACACAAUCUCAUGGUCUAAGGAAAUGAUACUUGACAUUAGAAAAGCUUUAGCAAACGAACUACACGAUCUUGUGCUAUGCUUAGGAUUGGGUCUUGUCCAUCACAUCAUUCUCCUAAUGAUGUGAUCCCAUUAUCAAUGACAUCCAAUGUCCAUGGUCAGGAAACCAUGACCAUCUGUUGAUCAACAAGCUAGUCAACUAGAGGCUCACAAGGGACAUGUUGUGGUCUAUGUAUUCACACAUGUAUUGCAGUUUCCGGUCAAUACAAUUAUAGCAUGAAUAAUAGACAAUUAUCAUGAACAAGGAAAUACAAUAAUAACCAUUUUAUUAUUGCCUCUAGGGCAUAUUUCCAACAGUCUCCCACUUGCACUAGAGUCAAUAAUCUAGUUCACAUCACUAUGUGAUUGUAAUGAAUCAACACCCAUGGGGUUUGAUCAUAUCUCGCUUGUGAGAGAGUUUAUUAGUCAACGGAUCUGAACCUUUCAGAUCCGUGUGUGCUUUGCAAAUCUCUAUGUCAUCUCCUAGAUGCAACUACCACGCUCUAUUUGGAGCUAUUCCAAAUAACUAUUAUACUAUACGAAUCUGGCUUACUACUCAGAAUAAUCCGGAUUAGUGUCAAAGUUUGCAUCGGCGUAACCCUUUAUGACGAACUCUUUUACCACCUCCAUAAUCGAGAAAAUUCCUUAGUCCACUAGUUACUAAGAAUAACCUUGACCACUGUCCUGUGAUCCAUUCCUGGAUCACACUUGUACCCCUUAACUGACUCAUGGCAAUGCACACUUCUGGUGCGGUAGACAGCAUAGCAUACUGUAGAGCCUACGUCUAAAGCAUAGGGGACGACCUUCGUCCUUUCUCUCUCUUCUGCCGUGGUCAGGUCUUGAGUCUUACUCAAUACUCACACCUUAUAACACAGCCAAGAACUCCUUCUUUGCUGAUCUAUUUUGAACUCCUUCAAAAUCUUGUCCCGGUGCGUACUCAUUUGAAAGUACUAUCAAGCGAUUUUGAUCUAUCCUUAUAGAUCUUGAUGCUCAAUGUUCAAGUAGCUUAAUCCAGGUUUUCCAUUGAAAAACACUUUUCAAAUAACCCUAUAUGUUUUCUAGAAACUCUACAUCAUUUCUAAUCAACAAUAUGUCAAUAACAUAUACUCAUCAAAAAUUCUAUAGUGCUCCCACUCACUUCUUUGGAAAUACAAGUUUCUCAUAAACAUUGUAUAAACCCAAAAUCUUUGAUCAUCUCAUCAAAGCGUAUAUUCCAACUCCGAGAUGCUUACUCCAGUCCUUAGAAGGAUUGCUGCAGCUUUGCAUACUUGUUAGCAUCUUUCAGGAUUGACAAAACCUUCUGGUUGUAUCACAUACAAAGUUUCCUCAAGAAUAUCGUCGAGGAAAUAAUGUUUUGACAUCCUAUCUGCAAGAUUUCAUAAAUCAUGCAGUAAUUGCUAAUAUAAAUCCAAGAGACUCUUAGCAUCGCUACGAGUGAGAAAGUCUCAUUGUAGUCAACUCCUUGAACUUGUCGGAAAACAUCUUAACGACAAGUCGAGCUUUCUUAAUGGUGAUACUUACCAUCAUUGUCCGUCUUCCUUUUAAAAUCCAUCUAUACCCAACAGCCUUACGACCAUCAAGUAGUUCUUCCAAAGUCUACACUUUGUUUUCAUACAUGGAUCCUCUCUCGGAUUUUAUGGCCUCGAGCCAUUUGUCGGAAUCCGGGCCCACCAUCGCUUCUCCAUAGCUCGUAGGUUCAUUGUUGUCUAGCAACAUGACCUCCAAGACAGGAUUACCGUACCACUCUGAAGCAGUACAUGUCCUUGUCGUCCCACGAGGUUUGGUAGUGACUUGAUCCGAAGUUUCCUGAUCACUAUCAUCAACUUCCCUUCAAUUGGUGUAGGUGCCACAUGAACAACUUCCUGUGCCCUGCUACACACUGGUUGAAGUGAUGGUUCAAUAACCUUAUCAAGUCUCCACCAUCCUCCCACUCAAUUCUUUCGAGAGAAACUUUUCCUCGAGAAAGGACCCGUUUAAGAAACAAUCACUUUUGCUUCCAGAUCUAAAAUAGGAGGUAUACCCAACUGUUUUGGGUGACCUAUGAAGAUGCAUUUAUCCGUUUUGGGUUUGAGCUUACUAGGAUGAAACUUUUUCACAUAAGCAUGGCAGCCCCAAACUUUUAAGAAACGACAGCUUAGGUUUCUCUAAACCAUAGUUCAUACGUUGUCAUCUCAACGGAAUUACGUGGUGCCCUAUUUGAAGUGAAUGCGGUUGUCUCUAAUGCCUUACCCAUAAAUGAUAGUGGUAAUUCGAUAAGAGACAUCAUGGUAUGCACCAUAUCCAAUAGGGUGUAGCUAUGAUGUUCGGACACACCAUCACACUAUGGUGUUCCAGGCGGUAUUAGUUGUGAAACAAUUUCCACAAUGUCUUAAUUGCAUACCAAACUCAUAACUCAGAUACUCAUCUCUAUGAUCAUAUCAUAGACAUUUUAUCCUCUUAUCAUGAUGAUCUUCAACUUCACUCUGAAAUUACUUGAACCUUUCAAUAAUUCAGACUUGUGUUUCAUUAAGUAAAUAUACUCAGCAUCUACUCAAAUCAUCUGUGAAGUAAGAACAUAAUGAUAUCCACUGCAUGCCUCAGCACUCAUUGGACUGCAUACAUCAAAAUGUAUUACUUCCAACAAGUUGCUUUCUUGUUCCAUCUUACUGAAAAACGAGGCUUUUCAGUCAUCUUGCCCAUGUGGUAUGAUUUGCAUGUCUCAAGUGAUUCAAAAUCAAGUGAGUCCACAUGAUCCAUCUGCAUGGAGUUUCUUCAUGCGUACAUACUAAUAGACAUGGUUCGCAUGUCUCAAACUUUUCAAAAAACGAGUGAGUCCAAAAGAUCCAUCAACAUGGAGCUUCUUCAUGCAUUUUAUACCAAUAUGACUCAAAUGGCAGUGCCACAAGUAGGUGGUACUAUCAUUACUAUCUUAUAUCUUUUGGCAUGAACAUGUGUAUCACUACGACCGAGAUUCAAUCAACCAUUCAUUUUAGGUGCAAGACCAUUGAAGGUAUUAUUCAAAUAAACAGAGUAACCAUUAUUCUCCUUAAAUGAAUAACCGUAUUGCGAUAGACAUAAUCCAAUCAUGUCUAUGCUCAACGCAAACACCAAAUAAAAAUUAUUUAGGUUUAACACCGAUCCCAAUGGUAGAGGGAGCAUGCGAUGUUUGAUCACAUCAACCUCAGAAAUACUUCCAACACAUAUCGUCACCUCACCUUUAGCUAGUCUCUGUUUAUUAUGUAUCCUUUUAUUUUGAGUUACUAACACUUAGCAACCGAACCGGUAUCUAUUACCAUGGUGCUACUAGGACUACUAGUAAAGUACACAUCAAUAUAAUUUAUAUCCAAUAUACUCUCGUCGACCUUGCCAGCCUUCUCAUCUACCAAGUAUCUAUGGUAGUUCUGCUUCAGUGACUGUUCCCCUCAUUACAGAAGCACCUAGUCUCGGGUUUGGGUUCGACCUUGGGUUUCUUCACUAGAGCAGCAACUGAUUUGCCAUUUCAUGAAGUAUCCCUACUUUCCCUUGCCCUUCUUGAAACAAGUGGUUUCACCAACCAUCAACAAUUGAUGCUCCUACUUGAUUUCUACUUUCGCGGUGUCAAACAUCGCGAAUUGCUCAAAGAUCAUCAUGUCUAUCCCUGAUAUGUUAUAGUUCAUCACGAAGCUCUAAUAGCUUGGUGGCAGUGACUAUGGAGAACCAUCACUAUCUCAUCUGGAAGAUUAACUCCCACUCAAUUCAAGUGAUUGUAGUACUUAGGCAAUCUGAGCACAUGCUCAACAAUUGAGCUUUUCUCCCUUAGUUUGCAGGCUAAGAAACUCGUCGGAGGUCUCAUACCUCUUGACAUGGGCACGAUCUUGAAAUCCCAAUAUCAGCCCUUGGAACAUCUCAUAUGUUCCGUGACAUUUCAAAAACCUCUUCGGCGCCACAAUUCUAAACCGUUUAACAUUACUGAACUAUCAUGUAGUCAUCAAAACGUGUAUGUCAGAUGUUCGCAACAUCCACAGACGAUGUUCGAGGUUCAGCACACCGAGCGGUGCAUUAAGGACAUAAGCCUUCUGCGCAGCAAUGAGGACAAGCCUCAGUUUAUGGACCCAGUCCGCAUAAUUGCUACUAUCAACUUUCAACUAUAUUUUCUCUAGGAACAUAUCUAAACAGUAGAACUAAAACGUGAGCUUAUGACAUAAUUUGCAAAGACCUUUUGACUAUGUUCAUGAUAAUUAAGUUCAUCUAAUCACAUUAUUUGAUGAACUCACACUCAGAUAGACAUCCCUCUAGUCAUCUUAAGUGAUACAUGAUCCGAGUCAACUAGGCCGUGUCCGAUCAUCACAUGAGACGGACUAGUCAUCUUCGAUGAACAUCUUCAUGUUGAUCGUAUCGACUAUACGACUCAUGCUCGACCUUUCGGUCUCUUGUGUUCCGAGGCCAUGUCUGUACAUGCUAGGCUCGUCAAUUCAACCUAAGUGUUUCGCGUGUGUAAAUCUGGCUUACACCCGUUGUAUGUGAAUGUUAAAAUCUAUCACACCCGAUCAUCACAUGGUGCUUCGAAACAACGAACUUUCGCAACGGUGCACAGUUAGGGGGAACACUUUGUUGAAGUUUUAAUGAGGGAUCAUCUUAUUUACUACCGUCGUUCUAAGCAAAUAAGAUGCAUAAACAUGAUAAACAUCACAUGCAAUCAAAUAGUGACAUGAUAUGGCCAAUAUAAUUUUGCUCCUUUUGAUCUCCAUCUUCGGGGCUCCAUGAUCAUCAUCGUCACCGGCACGACACCAUGAUCUCCAUCAUCAUGUCUCCAUGAAGUUGUCUCACCAAUUCAUUACUUCUACUACUAUGGCUAACGGUUUAGCAAUGAAGUAAAGUAAUUACAUGGCGUUAUUCAGUGACACGCAGGUCAUACAAUCAAUAAAGAUAAAUCCUAUGGCUCCUGCCGGUUGUCAUACUCAUCGACAUGCAAGUCGUGAUUCCUAUUACGAGAAUAUGAUCAAUCUCAUACAUCACAUAUAUUUCAUUCAUCACAUCCUUCUUGGCCAUAUCACAUCACACGGCAUAUGCUGCAAAAACAAGUUAGACGUCCUCUAAUUGUUGUUGCAAGUUUUUAUGUGGCUGCUAUAGGUUUCUAGCAAGAACGCUUCUUACCUACGCCAAAACCACAACGUGAUAUGCCAAUUGCAAUUUAACCUCCAUAAGGACCCUUUUCAUCGAAUCCGAUCCGACUAAAGUGGGAGAGACAGACACUCGCUAGCCACCUUAUGCAACAAGUGCAUGUCAGUCGGUGGAACCUAUCUCACGUAAGUGUACGUGUAAGGUCGGUCCGGGCCGCUUCAUCCCACAAUACCGUCGAAACAAGAUAGGACUAGUAACGGUAAGCAUAUUGAACAAAAUCAACGCCCACAACAACUUGUGUUCUACUCGUACAUAGAAACUACUCAUAAACCUAGUUCUGAUACCACUAUUGGGGAACGUAGCAGAAAUUCAAAAUUUUCUACACAUCACCAAGAUCAAUCUAUGGAGAGACUAGCAACGAGAGAGAGAGAGGGAGUGCAUCUUCAUACCGUUGAAGAUCGCUAAGCGGAAGCGUUACAAGAAUGCGUCAGUGGAGUCGUUCACAAAGCGAUUCAGAUCGCGGCCGAAUCCGAUCUAAGCACCGAACAACGGUGCCUCCGCGUUCAACACACGUACAGCCCGGGGACGUCUCCUCCUUCUUGAUCCAGCAAGGGGAGAGGAGAAGUUGAGGGAGAACUUCGACGGCACGACGGCAUGGUGGUGAUGGAGCUCGUGGUUCUCCGGCAGGGCUUCGCCAAGCACUACGGAGGAGGAGGAGAUGUUGGAGGAGGGAGAGGGCUGCGCCAGGGGAAGGGUGCGACUGCUCUCUCUCUCCCUCACUAUAUAUAGGGGGAAGGGAGGAGGGUAGGCACCCUAGGGUUCCCUAGGGGAGGGGCGGCGGCCACAGGGGAAACCCUAGAUGGGUUUGGGCGCCCCCAUCCCCUAGGAAAUUUUCCCCCCAAGCCGGGAGGGGCGGCUGCCCUAGGGGUGGCGCCCUCACCUCUCCUGGUUACGUGAGAUGGGGUGGAAGGGGCGCUCAGCCCCUUAGUGGGCUAAUGUGCCCUCUCCCCUUGGCCCAUAAGGCCCCCCAAUGCUUGUCGGGGCCUCCUAAACCCCUUUCGGACACGCUGGUCAUCACCUGGUACCCCCGAACAAUUCCGGACUCCAAUACCCUUCGUCCAAUAUACCGAUCUUCACCAUCGGACCAUUCCGGAGCUCCUCGUCAUGUGCGGGAUCUCAUUCGGGACUCCGAACAACCUUCGUUAACCACAUACUAUUUCCCAUAACAACUCUAGCAUCACCGAACCUUAAGUGUGUAGACCCUACGGGUUCGGGAACCAUGCAGACAUGACCGAGACAUUAUCCGGUCAAUAACCAAGAGCGGAAUCUGGAUACCCAUGUUGGCUGCCACAUGUUCCACGAUGAUCUCAUCGGAUGAACCACGAUGUCAAGGAUUCAAGCAAUCCCGUAUGCAAUUCCCUUUGUCAAUCUGUACGUUACUUGCCCGAGAUUCAAUCAUCGGUAUCCCAAUACCUCGUUCAAUCUCGUUACCGGCAAGUCACUUUACUCGUUCCGUAAUGCAUGAUCCCGUGACUAACUAGUUAGUCACAUUGAGCUCAUUAUGAUGAUGCAUUACCGAGUGGGCCCAGAGAUACCUCUCCGUCAUACGGAGUGACAAAUCCCAGUCUCGAUUCGUGCCAACCCAACAGACAGUUUCGGAGAUACCUGUAGUGCACCUUUAUAGCCACCCAGUUACAUUGUGACGUUUGGUACACCCAAAGUAAUCCAACGGUAUCAGGGAGUUACACAAUCUCAUGGUCUAAGGAAAUGAUACUUGACAUUAGAAAAGCUUUAGCAAACGAACUACACGAUCUUGUGCUAUGCUUAGGAUUGGGUCUUGUCCAUCACAUCAUUCUCCUAAUGAUGUGAUCCCGUUAUCAAUGACAUCCAAUGUCCAUGGUCAGGAAACCAUGACCAUCUGUUGAUCAACAAGCUAGUCAACUAGAGGCUCACUAGGGACAUGUUGUGGUCUAUGUAUUCACACAUGUAUUGUGGUUUCCGGUCAAUACAAUUAUAGCAUGAAUAGCAGACAAUUAUCAUGAAUAAGGAAAUACAAUAAUAACCAUUUCGUUAUUGCCUCUAGGGCAUAUUUCCAACACUCCUCUGAACACUUACCUGAGCGCUUAUACACGGCGCCCGCUCUCUCUCUCUCUCUCUCUUGACCUGUGGGCCCUAGUCGGUCGGUCCUGCGUUGUGCGGAUUACUAGGGAUUCACCCACGAGCUCGAGUUCAAGUAUCUAGCAUUGUCAGGACCUGCGCCUGACCUUGGGCAGUCAAUUUUUUUGUUUUUUUUGUUUGUUUGAAUCUAGUACUUGACUCCACCAGUAACUUGGACUGAUACUUUUUGUUCUAGUUCUUGUCAGUUUUAUGUGAGUGUAAUCUUUUUCAUUUGAGUUUCUUGCCUUCUUUUUGUGUUUGUUUUUGUGAUUAUUCUCAAGUGUCUUCUGGUGUCAUUUCAGAACUAUGGUACUUGCAUGUAGACUGAGUUGUACAGAUAGUGCAUUCAUAGUAGCGCUUAUGGAAUGAUGCUUCUUCGUGCUUUUUAUUGUAGUGAGUAUGUAUUGUCCGAUCAAGUGUACUAUUACUGUCAUUCUUAAUCUGCAAGCGACCAACAUAAGUGUGUGUUGAUGCUUCUUAACUUUUUAUGUUUGUAGUACUUCUUAAUUUUCUAGCAGCUACAUAUGAAUGAGAACACUACAUGAAGUACUAAGAAUUUUCGCUUCAAAUUUUGAAGCGUUGUUAAGCAACUCAAAUUGUGCUCAUUGUUCUCAACGUUAUGUUUUCUAUACAAUACUGAAUCGAAACUAGACAUGGAACAACGUUGUGUGAUUAGUUGCAUCAUAACUAGUACUUUAGAGCAGCCACAAAGUUCCAUUUAGAAGCUACUUUUGAAUUUGAAAUGAUGGAUUAACAACAUACGAAGCUACCAAACUUAUAUAAUGAGAUAAGCAAAACAUUGUACUUGAUGACAUAACUAAACUUGUUCAACCAUGACAAGCAUGACAUAAUCAUACUAGUUCAACCCAACAAGAGCAAACUACUAAUUUGAAACAACAAGAUAAAAGGCAAGCACAAGCGGAAGUAAAACGAAGGCAGGCUCUGAUGUAUCUUCAUCCCUAAAAGGGACAGAAGGGGCGGUCGUAGUAGUGGUCAGCCUCCCGCUCUUUCGCAUACUCCUAACCAUCUGUGAUGUAGUCGAUUACGAACCAUGACUUGUACGUGGUGUACACAUCUACUCAUGCGUACUCGAUGAGGUUGUCCUGUAGCGGGCUGGUCCCCCACAGUUUGUAGUCUUCCUGUGUGUUGAUCUUCUUCUUCAUGCCUUUGUAGAAUGGGUGGAUGACGGUGGCUGCAACAUCUAUCAAGGAGUCGUACUCUUUUCCGGUGUAUGGAACUCUCCACUUGCGCUGAAUGUCGAUGAACUUGUUGGGGUUGAUCUCCAUACCGGACAACUUCAGCUUCUCUUUGUCGCUUUCAAUGUUGAAACCGGCAAAUAUGACCGACUUCUCAUGCUGCAGCAUCUCGGUCAGGCGCUUGGGCCUGCAAGGGGAGAGACAUUUUGAAUAUUAGCAUUACUUUGAUGUUUGAAUUAUUCAUUUUUGUUUUGUUUUACAAGCGAUGAAUCCAUGAAGUAUUUGUUUAUAUAGGAUAAACAAUGGAUGAAUGUACUUCAAAAACUAGUAAACAAAGUUCUGAAAUUAAAUUAAGUACAUCAUGUUAUUCUUCUUUUUGGAUUAUACAUAGUUUCAGUCAAUGUUGUAUGUUCUGCAUUUGGUACUAGUUUAGUUUACUUUUGUUGAAUAGGAUAACACAUAACCAGUGCUUCACCAAGUCCUUAGUUUAUUUUCUUAUGAAAAUAACAUUAGAUCAAAUAAAGAAAAUACUUCACUACAUCAAGUUCAGAAACAUCUUUUUAAUACAUCGAGUGCAUAGACUACACUAUUUGAUCAACUUCAGAAACUACACUAGUCGAUCAACUUCAGAAUUUAAUCUUCCGCAAAUUUUCCAAAUAGUAAUCCAGUGCAUCAGGUUCAAAAAUACAUUUUACAAUGUAUCUACUUGAGAAAAUGCAGUAGUGCAUCCACUUUUCACAAACCACACUAGUACAUGUAGUUGGGAUACAAGUCUGAUGAAAUUUUCAGAAUACAGUACUAAUAAAACAGAUAAACCAUACAGGGCAAAUGAGUAGGAUGGCUCACCAUUUUGUGGCCGCUGCGAUGUGGUACACCAAGCAGAGCUCCUCGACGCACAACUGCAGGACUGCUGCCAUCUGGGGAGGUUCAUCUUCGUUGGUGUAGUGCACACCAACGCCGACGAUCCUACAAUUCGGACUCUUGCCGCCAAGCAUUUUCUAGAGCCUCGAGAUCACCUCGUCGGCCUUUUCUGGUACGCUGGUGCAGACAAUCUCCAGCGUCUCGUUGCCGUGGAGCUCAACCCCUUUGAGAGUUGUUGUGUACUCGCGUUUCUCGCCGGGGACGUGAAUGUCUAUGAGGUUGCUGCUCUUGUCCGACGUCUCGGCAUGAUGACGCUUGGCGGAUGGUUCCUCCGCCAUCGCCUUCCUCCGGCGACUGUGGGCUUGGGAGAGAGAAGUUUUUGGUUUGUGUGCAGUGGAGAUGGAAGCGGCAAUGGUGGUUUGUGGGAAUGAGGGAGAGAUGGAAGAGAAUGGUUUUUUUGCAGUGCGUGGACGGGGAUUUGUGGGAGGUGGUUCGUCGCGGGCGUGGGUGUAGUUGGUGUAGUGGCGUGGGGUCACCGUUUGCAGUCCCUUGUGGCAACCGCUCAGUGGGUGGGGCGGGUGGAGGCGUGGAAGAACUAACCGUCCAAGUUAAAUGGUUUUUACUUUUGCACUGACUAGUCUUGUCAAGAUGUACUUGUGACAUGCUAAAUCCCACUUGCACGUCUCUGUGGUGGUGAUGAUGGCAUUUUACUGUUGCACCCAUUCAUAUAGUCAACCUGUACUUAUCAGCUGCUUAUCCCACUUGCACGUGUCAGGGUCGAUGAUGAUGGAGGUCUGAACUCCUCUACUGUGGUACUUGGACUAGUGAUUGAAGUGUAAUUGAAUGUACCAAAUACCAGUGAGAAUAUGUGUGGUCCUAAUGUUUUUUAAAACAAUUUUCGUAUUUUUUAAAGGAUUGUUUAUAUCAAGAUAAUCUCUGAGUAUUUUUACAGAUAAAUUAGAUUUUCAUGAGUACAGGAUGUAUUAUAUUCGCAUUUUGCUUGGGGUAAUUAUUUUUAUGUACUGAUGGUCCUUCUGAAUCGGGACUGGCAGAAGUAGACAUAGCUUUGUUUUUUCAAAACAAUUUUUUAGGCGUUCACGGGUGUGUUUGUUUUACUAUGCCUUUGUACUGACGACUGAGAAUUAUCAGUACUGAUGUACUACAAGAGUUUAAAUUUUUCCUUGGCAUAUUUUUGCUGAGUUACUAUUCGACAGUAGCGUUUGCGUCAGAUAUAUCUAGAUAAGUUUUUUCAAAUGUAUUUGUGACUGCAUUCAAAAGGAUUAUCAAAUAGUUUACAUAAUAAUGUCACUCCAGCGGGCACAAAUCAGAAAUUAUAUCAGUACUGAUGUGUACUCUGCAUUGUAUUGACGAUUGAGAAUUAUCAGUACUGAUGUACUACAAGAGUUUAAAUUUUUUCCUUGACAUGUUUUUUUGCUGAGUUACUGGUUGACAGUAGCGUUUUGCGUCAUAUAUAUCCAGAUAAGUUUUUUCAAACAUAUUUGUGACUGCAUUCAAAAUGAUUAUCAAAUGGUUUAAAUAAUAAUGUCACUGCUCCAGCGGGCACAAAUCAUAAAUUACAUAUUAACUAUAGUACUGAUCGAGAAAUCGACGAUAAAGCUAAAUAAGUUUUGGUAACGACGGUGUUUCUGAAAUGUUUUCGCAUUGUGUGCCGAUGCAACUGAGACUACAAGGUUAGUUUUUAGUUGACGCAGCAGGAUAACCACUAUGUAUUGUUUAGCCUUGAGAUUCUCCUAACUGUCCCCGAAUGUUGUGCCUUGCCGGCGCCCUUUCCAGGUUGAGCCUUGGCAGCUUCAUCGUCAGUUUCAGUUUCCUCGCCCCCGACACUGUCAUCUUCAUUGUCUUUGUCUGAUUGGUCAUCAUUCUCGUCAAACUCUUUGUCUUCAUCGUCUUCAUUUGAUUGUUUGGAUCUCUGUACCUUGCCAUGUUUCUGUUCAGCUCCACUGACCUCCUUGCCCACUUUGCAUGUGCGGGCAUUAUGUCCGUCAGUUCCCCCACACUUGCGGCAAGUGUAGCUGUUACGUGUGUUGUCUCCAUUGGUAGAAAGCUGGGUGGCUCCAAUCUGCUUGUUCUUGUUGACAGUGGCAUCUGUGCGGAGUGGGCAUGUGCGGUAGUUAUGGUUGCUCACGACAUUGCAGAAUCUGCAUGCCCUUAUCCCGAGAGGUUUGCCGUCCGGGCCAAAUUCCACGCGCUUGAUGGGGUGUUGUGGAUUUUUGGCUACUGCUUGCAUCUUGCUCUUCUUCCCCUUUGUGUUUGAGAAUAUGGGUGGUUUAAUCACCCUUUCCUGCUGCUGCUGGUAGGAUGUGCUAUUGUCAUGUCGUUCGCCUACAGCACCAUCAAGCUCAUGAUCUCGCAUGUGAGCUUGUUGGUGCUCUUGAGUGUGCACAUGGGCAAGCUCCGGUUGCUGCUGCUCCACUUCCUCAUUGUCAAACGGGUCAAUAGCUCCCAGAUGGUUCAUCUCGGAUAACAUUGUAGCAAUAUCCUGCUCAAUGGCUUCAUUGUCCAUGACACCUCCAUUUUCAGCAGAAUGCAUGGCGUCGAGUUCUUGUUCAAGUUUGUCCAUGACGACCCGCGACCUCGCCAUUUGGUCUUGGCUUCUCAAGCUUUUUCUGUGCACCCUCAUGGUCAGCAUCAGCAGUGAGCUUUCAAUGCAGUAUUAGGAUGCCUUGUUUGAUGCUACUGUCCUCAAAUCAUUUCUAUUGAAUGUUGGCUGGAUGUUCGGGCGUUUGGUGUAUCUCCUGAGGAUGUAUUUCUCUGGAACGCUGGCAGCCUUAAUUGUCUGGAUCAUGCACAGGACAUGCACGCAGAAAAGACCUGUAUUGUUUUUGGAAGAGAUGCAUGUUUUUGUCAUUUCAUUCAAACAAAAACUUUGCAAAAAAAGUAGUACAUUAUGUAACAUAUUUUUUGUAGUCCUCACCUGUGUGUUCCCAUAGCCUGCACUCGCACUCAUAUGUUUCUCCCACGGGGUCUGCAACCACCUAGAACGCGUGCUGAGCCCACACAGACAUUUUUUGCGGGUGGUUGUAGCGCACAAGGUACUUUGUGGGCUCUUCCAUCUCUAUCGCCGUGAAGAGUGUGCUCAGAUUUAGCCUUUUUCUGAUCUCGCUGUACACAGCUCGUGAGUAGAGCUCUGCCAUCUGGGUGUCAAACCCAUAGAAGGUUAGUGUGUUUUGUUCCUUCUGCAUAUGCAAGAACGAUGACCAAAUUGUUAGUUUUCUCACAGAAAAAACUUGUAAUAAAGUUUUACUUUAGUAAGCAUGUUUUUUUGUCUUACGACAAGUGAUAGAGCUAUACCCGGUUAGCCAUUGUCUCCUGGUUCUCUGUCUGCCUCCUGGUUUUGACGCAGGAGUUUACCUGGCUGACAAACCGGUGUAGGUUUUGUCUCUCACUUACAAAGUUCUUCUUGAGCACAUAGUUCAUGCUCUCACUUUGCUGUGUGGAUGUCAUUUUGGCGCAGAAAAUUUCUUUGAAGUAGGCUGAUAUCCAUCUCUCAUGCUCGUUCCACAUGCCCACCAUUGUGGCAUCAUCGUGGAGGUUGUACUUAUCCAUGAGUCUUUUCCAGGCAUCCUCAACCUCAGUUGGCAUGAGGGGCCAGUUGAGCAUUGAUGUGAAUUCAUCCUUAAAGUCAUCAUGCAGGUAGUACAGGUACGCGAGGUGUUCCAUGUACUUCUUCAUAAUGUGCCAGCGGCAUAGCUUAUGUACCGUGUUCUUGAAAACAUCUGGGAUCGCCAAAGCCAUUGCCGGGCACUGGUCUGGUAAUGAGAAAAUAGACUAAGAGUGGUCAGCAGAUGGUUGUGCAUAUAUACCAAUAGAACUGACACAACAUUUUUACUGUGUUAUUUUCCUUUUUUUGAUGGGAGGUGGUGGUUGGGGGUGGUUUUGGCUGUUGUACCUGUGAGGAUGCAUGUAGGAGCCUUCCCUCUCAUGCACCUUAAAAAUGUCUUGAAUAGCCACUUGAAUGAAUCUGCAUCCUCAUCUCUUAUUAGGGCGAAACCAAAAAAUGUAGUCUAUAAGUGGUUGUUAGUUCCGACAAACACCCCAAGUGGCAUAUGGUACUUGUUGGUCUUAUAUGUUGUGUCAAACGUUAGCAGUCCCCAAAGUCCUGAUACGCCCCUCGGCAGCUUGCGUUCGCCCAGAAUAUGUUCUUAACUCUGUCAGACUCAUCGAGUUGCAUGUCACAGAAGAAUUCCCUGUUUAUAGCUUUCAUCUCCCUAAAGAAGUUGACAGUCUUUAGGACAUCGUCCACAUCAUCAAUCCUUGAAUUCUUUGCUUUCCUGCAUAUUAAAAGUUCAUUCAAAAAUGCAUGUUGAACUGGCAUCAGGUCAUGCGUUGUGUAAUAUGUUUGUACUGACAGAGGAAAAAAGAUGGAGGCGGUUUAUGGGAGGAGAACAAGUUUGUACUUACAGGUUAAUCAGGUCUUUGGCAUUCAUUUCGAGGAAGUAGCUACCAGGGUCAUCAUCGCCCAGUAUGCUCAUGAUUUGCGCGUGUUCAAUGCCUUUGAACUGCAGGUACUUGACGUACUCCAAGAUUGUUUUGUCAAAGUUUUUGUGGGAGUGCAAGAAGGCAAGCAUUUCUGCGGUGAGCUGUAGCCUGUGGUUGUGUUCCCAGACUAUCUCUUUUACGACAAAUGUUCCAUCGUUUUCCUUCUUCAGCCUCAUUUUAGCCCCGCAGUUAGUUCUGGUUGUCGUCUUGUUAUGCUGUCUAUUUGCUUCAGACACCUUGGAUUCAUAAAAUCCAUAGCACGUGCAAUAAAGGUAGGCUCUGGUCUUAAACUUGGGGCCUUCCCUGACAGCAAAACCCGCGUGCUUUGCAUAUACGUUGUAGAAGUUCUUUGUUUCUUGAAAGUUUCAAACCGCAUCUCUAGCCUUGGCGGAACGUAAGCUUCAAUGUCAGGUGACUGCACGCAAUAGUGACCAAACAAAAACGUAGUUCUGAAAAUGUUAGAUGGGGUGGUCACAUCACCAUGGUAUGUACUGUGCUUGUAUGUUUUUUUCUAUAUGGAUACUUACAUGUGUAUAGCUCUGCGCUGCCUUCGGUGUUUGUUGUUCACCCUGGUUUAUGGGCGUGGGUGGUGUCACCCUUGGCACAUGCAGCAAUGCAUCUCUUGGAGGGAGCAACGUUGACGAAGAUCUCCGUCUCUCAUUGUACGGCCGUCUCCCCUCAGAUUCAUUGUGAGGUAGCUCCUGUCUAUAUGGCUCAUAUCUUGUUCUUUUGAACCUGCUAGAGUGGCCAAAAUUUCUGUCUCUUUGGCCUGGUCUUCCUGUUGCAACCGCUUUUGCAGCAUGGAUGAUUGAUGUUGACGGAGCGACUGGUGGAAGCCUUGUUGCAACCCAUCCAUGGCUUCCUGUCCUUGGCUUUUUGCAUGCGCUCGGGAAGGAAAACAUUUGUUGUUGGUGAUAUUGUUGGCCUUGUUGCAACCCAGCAGCGGCAAAGCUUGCAUUCCCAGAUAUUGGUGUUUGCUGCAUAGAAGAACCUGUCCGUGCUUCUGAUGAUUCCGGUGUAUCUUGAAAUCUGCCUGUAUUGUUGAAGUAUCCAGGCGAUAUUUCUGGUGUUACCCAACCAGGUGGUGCCCCAUAUCUGUUUGGCUCAUCAAACGCUCGCUGCGUGCGCCGCCUUGCAUGCUUCUGCAAAUGACAUUAAACAGUUUUCGGAUUAAUCUGGUUUCAUUUUCAGUCGAACUGAUGAACGUUCAUGUUCAACAUUGAUGUACUGAUGUACUAUUUUUUAGCACUUCUUGUAAACUGGACAUUGAACUGAUGCAUGACUUCUCUUUUGUUCAUCUAUAACUUAUGCAACUACACUAGAAGUACUCCUAGUUUAUGUAUCAUUGAACUUACUGUGUAACUGUGGCACUCUCUUAGUACUAUCUACUUGGACUGAUGCAUAAGUUCAAGUUUUUUUACUUGAACUGAAGCUAGCAUAUUAGAGGUACUGACAGUAACCUGGACAUCCUAAUCGUGCAUCAAUGCAUCUACAUUACAAGUAUUGCUAGUUUAUGUAUCAUUGAACUUACUGUGUAACAUUUUUUUCAGUAACAGUUUUGUUACUCGUUUGAACUGAAGCAACUACAUGACUUGUACUCUUAGAAAUAACAACAUACAACUUUCAGUGGUAGCUGAACCUUAGUACUAUCUACUUGGACUGAUGCAUAAGUUUAAGUUUUUUUUACCUGAACUGAAGUUAGCAUAUUAGAGGUACUGACAAUAACCUCGACAUCCUAAUCGUGCACCAAUGCAUCUACAUUACAAGUACUGCUAGUUUAUGUAUCAUUGAACUUACUGCGUAACAAUUUUAUAUUUUUUCCAGUAACAGUUUUGUUACUCGUUCGAACUGACACAACUACAUGACUUGUACUCUUAGAAAUAACAACAUACAACUUUCAGUCGUACCUGAACCUUAGUACUAUCUACUUGGACUGAUGCAUAAGUUUAAGUUUUUUUUACUUGAACUGAAGCUAGCAUAUUAGAGGUACUGACAGUAACCUCGACAUCCUAAUCGUGCAUCAAGUGGCAGGGGUGAAAUUAACUGAUGCAAGCAUUUGCAAUGUACCAUCGGGUUCUUCUUCUUAGCAGGACUGAUGAACUGAUGGACUGACACAAACAUGGGAAGCAGACAUUACCUCCAGUGGACUGAUUUCAUCUUCUACCUCUCGUGGGCGUCGUACUGACAUGUUCUUGGGAGGCGGCGCCAUUGACGCAGCUCCUUCUUGUGGUGGACGUCUGGCGAAGAGGUUCAUUGAGUAAGCACCUUGUGGGGAUCACUGCCCCGAAGAAGGAGGGAGGCAGCAGGCGGGGAUGAUGGCCCCGUCGAUGGAUUCGAUGACAAAGGGAGGCAGGAGGCGGGGAUGACGGCCCCGUCGUUGGAUCCGGCAAUGGAGGGAGGCAGGAGGCACGGAUGACGACCUCGUCAUUUGAUCCGACGACGGAGGGAGGCAGGAGGCGGGGAUCACGGCCCUGUCGAUGGAUCCGGCAAUGGAAGGAGGCAUGAGGCGGGGAUCACGGCCCCGUCGUUGGAUCCGGUGAUGGAGGGAGGCAGGAGGUGGUGGCGGAUCCAUCGCCAGCCAGUCACGGCGCCAUGGGCUUUGUCGUGGAAUUAACACGUCAGAUGUCCUCAUGAAAGGACUUAGUCGUGGAGCCAUCGCGACGGGUUAGCUUGGAGGGGUUAAACCGGACAGGGGACAUGAGAGCUUUAUACUAGUUCGGCCCCUUCGAUGAAGGUAAAAGCCUACAUCUAGUUGUGAUGGAAUUGAUUGGGUUUUGAUGACCAGGGAGCAAAUACGCUUUGCCUGGGUCUCGAGUUUUUUUUCCUGAACCGCCGCCGGGUCAUCCCUUUAUAUACAUAGGUUCACGCUCGGCCGGUCUAUAGAGUCCCGAGGCCGGCUCAUACCAGUGUCCGGCUCGGUCUCUCCUUUCAUAUCUUAUAACACAAGUUACAUGAUCAUGGCGGUUUACAACUUAUGGGCCCUAAUCUAUCUUUGGGCUCUGGCCCUCUAAGCUUCACCGUAAAGCGCCAUCUUCUGGGUCUUUAUGGGCUUCAAAGUAGUUGAGGGUAAACCGGCCCCUCCUGGGCGGUUUACCCUUAGUAGUUAUAUCCUCAACAUUAGGCCCCAGAUUGAUUUGAACAUGUUCAUGUCAAUCUUCAAUACUUAGAAAAAUUUCAUGAACAUCUUCUUAUGAUUCUCGUAAACCGCCAUUAUGUAUUCUCCCUAUCAACCUUGGUAAACCGCCAUGACGUCAUCCUCUGAACACAGCAGUGAAUCGUCAUGACGUCAUCUCUGUAUAAAAAGAUAAUAAAGAUUCCUCAUUAACUAUGCCCGAAGAUCGAGGCGACAGCUACGCCCUCUUUUGCCGCUUCUGGCUCCUCGAUUCCCGCGCUUGCCUUAUCCUUUUGCCUUAUAAAUAGGCUCAGGGGUCCUUUUUUUCUUCCCCUUCAGUGCCUCUUCUUCCUCCUCGUGAUGCUCAAGCUCUGAAGCUCCGCCGCCGCCCUCAAUCUUCAAGCACUGCAUCGACAAGGCCGCUGCAUCAACCUGAUCGUACCAGAAACUUGCGGGUCUUCUCCGCUAUUCCUGUGCAUCUGGUAAGCCUCCUCCCUUCAACCCUAGAUCUGUAUUAGGGUUUCUGCGUUCAUCCGUGUUCGUUAGUGUUCAUAUUUGUUCGCUGCUUCUUGCUUUACUGUUGGAUCUAGAUGAACUUGUCAUCUUUCUCCUACGGCCAAAGUUGUAAUUUUAGUUUGCCUCACCGUAGUAUCUCCUCCUGCCUUGAUAGAUCCCAUCUAGACUUAUGGUGUUCUAUCGUCGCCAUUUUAGGGCUCAGAAUAAUUUUCUUACUGGACCAUGGUAGAUCCAAAAUUAUAAUGUCAUAUUGUGAAACCUGUUUCUGUCAACACUUAGUAGAUUUUCAGCCACUGCCUCUUCUAUUUAAGGGCGGUUUAACUUUUAGUAGUUGAUAAUCCGCCAUAUGCCAUUAGCCCUCACUUAAACCACCAUUUUGACUUGAAUAGUAAUCUCUGGUUUAACUCACGUAUAUGCCUUGGCCAAAUUCCCCAGUUUAACACCGAUUAGUGCACCUUAGCUAUCAAUCGUAAACUGGCCUUCAUUUUUCCUUUUCAGUUUGCUUUCCAAGAUGACUAAGCAAUUCGCUGCUUGCAACUGGGUUUCGUCCCGGAUCACGGAAACACAAAUCAAUGGAUAUGUUGUAACUGGCGCUUUAUCUUCAAAAAAUGUCCUUCAUUGGCGGGUUCCUGGCCCUGAGUGCCCUCCUGAGCCUCAAGAUGGAGAAGUGAUUGUUUUUAUGCAGCACCUAGACCAGGGGUUCAGCCCUCCCGGAUCAAAAAAAUUCCGGGAUGUCCUUGCUAACUUUCAACUCCAUCCAUAGGAUAUUGGACCGAAUUCUGUAUCCAACAUAUGCAAUUUUCAAGUAUUUUGUGAAGUUUACCUUCAAGAGGAACCAUCUGUUGAGCACUUCCGGGACUUUUUCCAUCUAAACUGCUGAACUCAGUUUUCUGAUGGUCCUAACACGGAAUUUGGGGGGUAUCAAUCCAGAAGAGGAAAGAAGUUCAUUUCCCUCAUGCAAAACACCACAGCCAUCCCAAGGACUGGAACCAAACUUGGUUUUACUGCCAGAACACUGCCCCUGCUGGAGAAAAUCCUUUGCCGGGUUACCACCCUCACCGGCUUAGCAAAUGGCCACCCAUUACCUCAACGAUUAACUGCCAAAGAACGACAAACUUAUGCACCUCAACUCGCCAAGCUCCGGUCUCUCCUAGCCAACGGUUUGACUGGUGUUGACCUCAUUCGCUGUUGGGUUUUGUGGCAUAUCCUGCCCUUAAGUCGCUGCUCCGGAUUAAUGCAUGAGUAUACCGGUGACACCAAGGACCCUCAACGGUUUAAUGAGAUAGAAAUGACCGACGAUGAAGUCACCAAAAGUGUGAAGAAGAUGCUUGACGAACCGAUCGCCGCAUGCUGCCAAACUGAGCUGCUCCCUUUUUAUACCUCCAACAAACCGCUAGCGGUAAAAGUUGUAACCUUGUGCUUUUUGAUCCACCUCCGCUUUAACAAUGUUCUAAUAUUCCUUUGUUUCAUUUCACAAGCCAAUAGCUCCUUCUGGAAGAGGAAAACUCAAGAUAAACCAUCUAGGGCUCCUCGUGCGAAGAGCAAAGUUACAAAAAGAACAGCCAAGAAGAAAACCGCCGAGUCUUCUGAUCCGCCAGAAGACAUUGACGAAUCGGAUCAAGAGGUAAAACUUGACUCCCUUGGUUCCUUUUUCAUACACCUUAUUGACAAUAACUAUUCCUAGCAUGAUGCGGAGGCCAGCCAUGCGGACCGUGUAGAGGUAAUCUCUCUUUCCUCCGAUUCAGAUCUUGUGCCGGUUCAAAGAUUUCGCCGUGCAGUACGGAAAGUAAAAUACUCUCACCCUCUUGCUUAUUUGGAUCCAAAAAUUUCUUUGAAGACACAGCAACCUGAAGGGCAUCGCACAACCCGGGACAGCGGCCAGCAAGUCACUUCUGCCGGUUUACCGGAUACUCCAACCCGGAAACGUCGCCCAGAGGUUUCUUGUUCUCCCAAAAAAAUUAUCCUUUGAAGGGUUGCUUCCGAUACCCACUUAAUCCGUCUGAUCCAAAUUAUCAGGGGUCUUCCAAUUCAUCUGGCGGUUCAUCAACCACUCAGCUGCCUCCCCUUAAAACCGUCCCUGGGUAAGUAUACUGCCCUUCAUCUUUUUUCCUUUAUAUUUCAGUUUACCGUGCUAAUCUUUGUUUUGAUAUCGCAAUGCCAAAGCCCGACUGAGCAAGAAGGCCAAAACCAGUACCCCCAUUGGUGAAGUUGAACCGGAGAGGGCUCCUAAGGGCACCGGUAGAAAUACUGAUGUCAUGGAUGAUUCCGCCCCACAAGGUGAGAACACUGAAGCUAAUCCGCUGGAAGCUGACCCGGCCACUCACGUUGAUCCUUCAAGUCCUCAUGCUACUCCUUCGAGUCCGGCUGCUGAUCCGCCGAGCCCAGCUGCCAAUCCGCCAAGCCCAGCCAGGGAUACCAUCAAUCUGCCAAGUCCAUCAAAAGGUGAUGAUGAUGAUGUUAUUAUUACUAGCACGGGUCACACUAGUCCUGGUAAUCCGGUUGUCUUGUCAAAACAUACUGCCAAGGAGGAAUUCGCUGCUAUGGGCAAAGGGAAAGGGAAGACUAAUUUAUCCAACUUCAUUAACCUUAGUACCGAGGAGCUUCAUUCCGGAUUUUUAAACCGCCUUUACACAAGCCGUGAUUUUGAGGCCGGUUUGGUGAACUUGAUGAAGGAGCGUUAUGACGUAAUCUUCAAACACGCUUUUGAAAUUUGCUUUGUUCUGUAUAUCUCUUCCAUUUUAGCCCCCAAGGGCUGGGUUAUCUCUUAAAGAUAAAACGAGACUUCGAGAUAAAGAACACUUCAAUUGAGUAGCCCCCAAGGGCCGGUUUGUCUCUUGAAGACAAACCGGGACUGUAUGUCCUUAUUAAUUGCCUUCACUUAUAACAGAUCAAUUGUGCAUUAGCCCCCAAGUGCCAAGCUUAAUACCUGGAUUGAGCCUUGGAACUUUAAAAUACUCACUUUAAAAAGCAAUUCGCAUUAGCCCCCAAGUGCCAAGUGUAUAACUUUUUAUGUGCUUGGGACUUUAACAGCUUCAUCAUCUGACUUUUUCAGACCGAUAGAAAUAUCAAAGAAUCUCAAAUCGCCGAUCUUCAAGAAAACAUCAAGUCCCAGCAAGAAGAGACCUCUAAAGCGAAAUAAGAGCUAAAGGGUGCUUUGACAACUAUGGAGCAAUUGAAAGAUGGCUUCAAAAAUGAACGCACCAACUGGGAAACUGAGAAGGCUGCGUUGUUGAAGCGGGCCGAAGACACCGAAUCAGCUCUUAAACCGGUGGCGGAUGAACUAACUGGGUUGAAGCGCCAAGUAAAUUUCAUGACCUCUACAAUAUUUGGUAAAUAUCGUUGUUCUAAAUUUCUUGAAUGGCCAUCCUUGAAAUUACCGGUUUAACAUGAAAAUCUUGAAUCGUUAUAGGUAGCCGUAUUGCUCAUCUGGGCUCUGACAUGCGGAUGAAACUGAAGGCAGCAUAUACGUUGAUAGAGCAACUGUAUACUGGUGCCCAACGGGUUAUCUGCGCAAUCUCAUAUAACAAACUGGCACGAACAUUGAUCAAGGACACACUAGCAAGGUUAUCCAUGACACCGGUGCAGAUAGAAGAGGUGAAGCGAUCUACUGCCAGGGCUGGCGCUUUACUAGCACUAACUCGGGCCAAAGCAUGGAUAUCUGACUUGGAUCCAGUUGAUAUCGCCAAGGGCUUUCCGGAUGAACAAGCAGAUGGGUCAGCAUUUGACAACGAAGCCCUCAAAGCCCUGACAAAGGAGAUGCGUCCGCUGUCAAGCCAAUUGGCUGAAGAGGCUAACUUGACUGUUCAUCGGUCCUUUUAUGAUGAAAGGAACCAGCGGGUUGACACGACUGUGACAGAAGCGCAAAACCUUAUCCCGCCAAUCCGUAAGCACACUUACGCCCCUGAUGUUGAACCGUCCAAUCUGAUAAGUGAAGAAGCUAUAUUUCAGGCUUUAACCCAGAUAGAGUAGACCACCGUUGACUUCCAGCAACUGGGUGGGGAGGAGGAGGGUGAACCGACGCCAGAAGAUCCAUCAACUUCACGUCGUCCUGGCAAUGAAUCUUAAACCGUCAAUCGGUCAAUUUUCACAGACUUUGUUCGGUGUAAGAACAAUCAGCAUUUUGGGCCUCAAAGCGCCUUGUAAUAGGCUAGUUAAAAUACUUUGAUCUGCCAUGCUGAUACAUGACUUUGUUUGAUCCGCCAUGAUAUUUGAUGUGCUUGAUUGUAUAUCAUGAUAAUUUCAUGCAAUCCUGAUGUCUGCAUAAAAAGAAUUUUCCGGCGGUAUCACAAUGCCCAAUACCAAGCCUGGUUAAUGACCAAAGCUAUAUCAAAAUAUGAAAUGAAUCAUACCUGUGAUAUUAAAUGACUUAAUUGGUUUACCAACUUGGUUUUGUAGUAAGGGUGAAAACCCAAUACUUGGAGCUUUUGAUAGUGUUCACCAUGCCGUGCUAGUGUUGAAUGAGUCAUACCGGGUUACGAUGAACACCAGAUGAUCAUAUUGGUGACAUAUAGUCAAAAACCAGACUGGUUUAUGAAACACCGGUUUAAAAACGAAGAUGGUCUGGCAACUUAUAGUUGAAAGCCAGGCCGGAUUAACAAACACCAGGUUAAUAUGAUGACUGAAAAGCCACACUGGUUCAAUAUAAACUUAUCAAAGGGUAAAAUUUUGGCAAAAAGCAAACAAAAACCGUGUAGUCGAGGCUUUUCAAGGGCUGCCAGGCCCAAAUUCAAGGCUUUUCAUGGGCUGCCAGGCCGCUGAGUUAAACCAUUUUGCAAAGCCUUUUAAGAUGGGCCUCCAACUAACCAAUCGUCAUUUUAACUUUGACAAGUUCAGGGUCUUUAAAAGAUUGACUUGUCAAACGUUCGGCGGGUCAUGCCAGGAUUACCUGGAUAGGAGUGGCUUAUUUGAUGAAGGCAGGUUAACCCGGGGUUUUAGGUGAAUACACCAGGCUUCCAAGCCGUGCUUGAUAGCAUUUUACAAGGGUCCUUUCAAACUCUUUGUUGCAUUGCACAAAGAGCCCCCAAGUAACUUUGUGAGCUAUGCUCAAUGGGUGCCUAUGUUUGAGUUGUGCACAGCAUCCAAACUCUCUUUGGCCCCUUGGGUGUGAAGCUCCCAAGCUGUAUAGUGGCAUGAUAGCCGGUUCAAUAAGUAGUACUCCGCUUUGUCAGCCAAAGCCCCCAUGUAACCAAGAACAUAUUUGAGGGAAAACAGCAGAGGCCCUGCUUAUAGCAAGGGUGCCAGUUUAUUAUAUUGAUCAUAAUAUAUACAUUGUCAAAAUAUGUACAUAAGAAAAGCCUAUGGCUCAAGUGUAGUAAGGCCGAAGGAGAGCUAUGUUCCAUGGCCGCCGGGUCUCCUCCUCAGAACUGCGUGAGUUGUCUCGAGCGUCGAUGAGGUAGUAUGAUCCGUUGUGCAGAUUCUUGCUGACCACAAAGGGCCCUUCCCAAGGUGGGGACAACUUGUGCAUAUCGGUCUGAUCCUGAAUGAGCCGGAGCACUAAGUCGCCUUCUUGAAAGGUUCUUGUCUUAACCUGGCGGCUAUGAUAACGCUGCAGGUCUUGUUGAUAAACCGCCGAACGAGCCAAAGCCAUGUCCCGUUUUUCAUCUAACAGGUCCAGCGCCUCUUGGCGUGCUUGCUCAUUGUCCGCUUCAACAUAAUUGGCUACCCGGGGUGAGUCAUGACGAAUAUCACUUGGGAGGACGGCCUCAGCCCCGUAAACCAUGAAGAAAGGUGUAUAACCCAUAGAUCGAUUUUGUGUGGUGUUUAUACUCCAUAACACAGAUGGUAAUUCUUACACCCAACAACCCGGCGUCCGCUUCAAAGGAACCAUAAGCCGGGGCUUGAUACCCUUCAAGAUUUCUUGAUUAUCUCUCUCCGCUUGACCAUUAGACUGGGGGUGAGCCAUGGACGCUACAUCAAUCCUGAUGUGCUCUCGUUGACAAAAUUCCUCCAUCUCACCUUUAUAAAGGUUCGUGCCAUUAUCUGUGAUGAUGCUGUGUGGAAAGACAAAAUGGAAGAUGAUCUUUUUGAGAAAUUGAACUGUCGUGGCUGCGUCACACUUGCUGACAGGCUUCGUUUCAACCCAUUUAGUGAACUUGUCAACCGCCACCAACAGGUUGGUCUUCUUAUCCUUGGAGCGCUUAAAAGGUCCCACCAUAUCAAGCCCCCAAGUAGCAAACAUCCAAGUGAUAGGAAUCAUCCAUAGCUCUUGAGACGGAACAUGAGCUCGAUGUGAAAACUUUUGACAAGCGUCACACCGCUUUACCAGAUCCUCUGCAUCAGUAUGAGCUGUCAACCAAUAAAACCCAUGACGCAAAGCUUUAGCCACCAGGGAUUUUGAACUAGCAUGGUGACCACAAUCCCCUUCAUGGAUUUCACGUUGAAUAUCUUGUCCUUCUUCAGGAGAAACACAAUGUUGGAAUACGCCUGAAACACUGCAACGGUGUAACUCGCCAUUGUGAAUAACCAUGGACUUGGAUCGCCGGAUUAUCUGUCUGGCUAAAACCUCAUCAUCUGGUAGCUCGCCCCGGUUCAUAUACACCAAAUAUGGAACCGUCCAAUCCGGAAUGAUAUGUAAAGCGGCUACCAAUUGGGCCUCCGGAUCAGGAACAACUAAAUCCUCCUCUGUAGGCAACUUAACAGCUGGGUUAUGCAAGAUAUCUAAAAAGGUAUUGGGUGGUACCGGUUUACACUGAGAUCCCAGCCGGCUUAACGUGUCUGCUCCUUCAUUUUUGCGCCUGUCAAUGUGCUCAACCUGAUAUCCUUUAAAGUGACCAGCCACAAUAUCCACUUCACGUCUGUAAGCCGCCAUGAGUGGAUCCUUAGAAUCCCAAGUACCAAAAACUUGCUGAGCCACCAAAUCAGAAUCUCCAAAACAGUGAACCCGGCUUAAGUUCAUUUCCUUGGCCACACGGAGACCGUGGAGUAAGUCCUCGUACUCAGCUACAUUGUUAGUGCAAGGAAACAUUAAGCGGAGGACAUAACAAAUUUUAUCACCUCGAGGGGAAGUAAGGACAACUCCAGCCCCCGAGCCUUCCAACUGCCUGGAUCCAUCAAAGUGAAUAGUCCAGUAUGUAUUAUCCGGUUUGUGCUCCAGUGCCUGUAACUCGGUCCAAUCAUUGAUGAAGUCAACAAGCGCCUGAGACUUGAUGGCCGUUCGAGGCAUAUACUUCAACCCAUGUGGACCAAGCUCAAUUGCCCACUUUGCAACCCGGCCAGUUGCUUCCCUGUUCUGAAUUAUAUCGCCCAAAGGAGCAGAACUAACCACUGUGAUGGGAUGGCCUAGAAAGUAUUGCUUGAGCUUCCGACUUGCCAUAAAAACCCCAUAUACCAGCUUCUGCCAAUGCGGAUAUCGCUGUUUUGACUCGAUUAGUACUUUGCUGAUAUAGUAAACUGGCCGUUGAACCGGAUAUUCCUAUCCAGCCUCCUUACGCUCAACCACAAUUGCCACACUGACCGCACGGGCAUUAGCAGCCACGUACAAUAACAAGGGUUCCUUGUCAACUGGAGCAACAAGGACCGGCGGUUCAGCUAACUGCCGCUUCAAGUCCUCAAACGCCACAUUGGCUGCAUUACUCCAGAUGAAAUCGUCUGUCUUCUUCAACAUCUGAUAUAAAGGAAUUGCCUUUUCUCCCAAGCGGCUGAUAAACCGGCUAAGGGCUACAAUUCGACCUACCAGACGCUGAACAUCAUUGAUGCACUUCGGUUUAGCCAAGGACGUAAUCGCUUUGAUCUUUUAUGGAUUAGCCUCAAUGCCUCUGUUGGACACCAGAAAGCCUAAUAGCUUACCUGUCGGAACACCGAAAACACACUUGUCCGGAUUAAGCAUCAUCUUAUAAACCCGAAGAUUGUCAAAGGUCUCCUUGAGAUCAUCUAUCAAGGUCUCCUUCUUUCUGGAUUUUACCACAAUGUCAUCUACAUAGGCAUGAACAUUGCGCCCAAUCUGAGUGUGAAGACAAUUUUGCACACAAGAACUGAGAGCCGGAAUGAGACAUGGCACUCCCCAAGAACUGAAAGCAAGCCCGGUGCCUCGGUCCACUGAUGCCGCUGGCUGAACCGGGGCGAGUUGAUAACGACCCGCAUAUUGUGCUGCUAAAGCAGCCUUCCUUCGUGCUCUGCCAUUAUCCACCGCAUCCUGAGCAUUUGCCUCACCAAGCGCCGGAUUGGGUCCUUGAGGGGCAUUACGGCGCCGCGCACUGCUAGACACCUCCGGUUCAUCUAUGUGCCUGCUAUAGCUUUUGCUUGGAUGGGGGGUCGAAUGAAUUCUGCCUCGGCUAUAAGAAUAAGCCUGCUGCUGCACAAUGGCGGUUUGAAGAAGAUCCCUGGCCCGCCACGUCUCAAUCGCCGCCAGUGAAUCGCCCUCCAUCGGAAUAGCUGCCAGGCAAGAUGCUGCAGCAAUCAUGUUAUCCAAAGGGCUAGAAAAGUGACCCAGUGGUGUUGAUACGUAUUGCGGCGGGUUAUCCGUUCGACGAGGUGGAUCCGUCACUCGUGGUUGAUCCGGCACUGCCCUAGGUGCGUCAGUCCGGUUUGCAGCUGCCGGAUUACUUGGCCCAGCCCUCGAUGUAUUGAAGAGAUUCAGUCCCUCGAAGACUGGCGGCAUACGUGGUAGAUACUUCCUCCACAUUACGUCAUUUGACGCAUUCUGAUGCAACAUGAGCCGGUAAUUCUGUGUCUGUAUCUGUUGUGACUGGGCAUCCAAAGCGGCCCGUUCUUCAGCCAUCCUGGCAUCCUCAGCUGCUAGGUCCUCCUUAGCCUGUGUUAUCUGGUCCUUCAGCUUCGCAACGUCCGCAUUGUGCUGGUCCUGCGUCUCCGGGGUAACUGCCGUGGUUAACAAGGUCGCCCAGGCAUCCAUCAAACCAGAGAGAACUUGAGCCGGUCGGCGCACCGGGCCUCCUACCGCGGCUGCUGAUCCGGAAUUCAUUGCUGCUGUAGAUGAAGACUGCAAGGUGGGCUGUGUUCCGGCCAUGAAAACAGCAACCCGACUCGGCGGUUCAAAGGGGUCCGGAAUACUGUUGCCCUCAGAAUAUCCUUCGAACACACCAUCCUGAACUUGAUACAGGGACUUGGUUUCACUGGUGGAUGACUCAUUGUCGGAAUAAACGGCCGUCUCGCCUUCAGACACCAGUUCAGAUCCAAUCCCAUGGACACAUCCUACGAACACACGCUUCAUGGCGGGCUUAACCCGGGCAGGACUCGCACGCUGAGCCGUCUCGACGAGUUCGGUGCAGAUGUCCGGCUCAGGGCCCGGUUCGCCGAUCUUGCCGAUGAAGACAUGAAUUCCGCCAAAGGAGACCCAGUACCCGUACUCGAUUGAGCCGGCCUCGGGGCCCCAUCCUUCAUCGUCGAUGUAGAGCUUGCCGCGAUGACUCUUGGUCAUCCAGCCGACCGCGUACCCUUUGAGUCCUUCAAAGCUGCCCUUCAAGAACUCGAAACCAUUGUGCGAUAGCCCCACGGUGGGCGCCAACUGUCGUGGAAUUAACACGUCAGAUGUCCUCAUGAAAGGACUUAGUCGUGGAGCCAUCGUGACAGGUUAGCUUGGAGGGGUUAAACCGGAUAGGGGACACGAGAGUUUUAUACUAGUUCGGCCCCUUCGGUGAAGGUAAAAGCCUACGUCUAUUUGUGAUGGAAUUGAUUGGGUUUUGAUGACCAUGGAGCAAAUACGCUUUGCCUGGGUCUCGAGUUGUUGUUUUUUUCCUGAACUGCCACCGGGUCGUCCCUUUAUAUACAUAGGUUGACGCCUGGCCGGUCUACAGAGUCCCGAGGCCGUCUCAUACCAGUGUCCGGCUCGGUCUCUCCUUUCCUAUCUUAUAACACAAGUUACACGAUCAUGGCGGUUUACAACUUAUGGGCCCUAAUCUAUCUUUGGGCUCUGGCCCUCUAAGCUUCACCGUAAAGCGCCAUCUUCUGGGUCUUUAUGGGCUUCAAAGUAGUUGAGGGUAAACCGGCCCCUCCUGGGCGAUUUACCCUUAGUAGUUAUAUCCUCAACAGGCUCCCUCGCUUCGGCUGCCGCCGUCGCUCGCUCUCCCACGAUGCUUGCCUCUGGCGGAAGAAGGCGGGUUGGGGUCGGGGGGAUUCGACGGUUGUGUGCGCGUCGCGCCUAUAGGGGGCGGGGGGUAACAGAAUAAUAUUCUCUUAUGGGUAACAGAAUAGUCCAGCCCUAUAUAUAUACAGACGGUCUAUUCUGCUAAUAUUAGCAAAAUAACUAUUCUGCACAUCACUUCCGCACUGCAUGCUGAAUGCAAGUGCACGUCAUUCUUUGAACCAAGCGUGCUGCAGUACUCACACGAGUGAACUUCUCGUCGGAUAAAACUGCACGCGUUAUUUUUUUGGUACUGUUUUUGCUCUAAUUUUUUAACCGUUUAUCGGAAUGAGGCGUGUAAUAUACCGUUGAAAAGCUAUGGAUUAGGCGCAACUUCGACAUGUUGAACAAUUUUCGAGAUUCCACAUGGUUUAAGAGCAGUUUUGAAAAUGGUGCGGCGGAUGACGAGUGGCAGCGAGCGUUUUUUCGCGUUUUUUUCUAAACGGCUUGUCGGAAUGAAGCAAAUGAUACGUCGUUGGAUAGAUAUUGUCGAGGCGCAUCUUUUUCAUAUAUAAAUCUUUCUCUAAUUCGUUACGGUUUAAGAGCAUUUUCAAAUUUACUAAAUCACGGAAUUCUGUUUUUCAAGUUUUUAAAAAAAUCUGGUACUGUUUUCGCUCCAGUUUUUGAACCGUUUGUCGAAACGAGGCGUGUGAUACGCCGUUGCAAAGCUACGAACGAGGUGCAACUUUCAUAUGUUGAAAUAUUUUUGAGAUUCCUUACGUUUUUAAGUUAAUUUUGAAAAUCGUGCGGCGCACAACGAGUGGCAGCGGCCGUUUUUUGCGAAAUUUUUGCAAACCGCUGGUCGGAAUGAUUCAAAAGAUACAGCGUUGGAAAUAUAUCGACGAUACGCAACUCUUUCAUGUAGAACACUCUCUCUAAUUCUUUACGGUUUAAGAGAAAUUUCAAAUUUACCGAAAUGCGGACACUCUGUUUUUCGCGACACCAAAAUCGACGAAGUGAACUCCAUCUGACAGAAAAGAGCACUGCUUCGGAUGUAAAAGUGCACUGCAUCCGACUGGCAAGCGAAAUGCAUGAUUUCUUUUGUCUUGAUUUUUGUUAUUCAUUUUUUAGUCGGACACCACAUGAGCUGCAUCCCACGGCCAAACGCAUCACAGUUUCUAAUCAAGUUGACUGAUUCCACACUGCAUCAGACGGUCAAGUGAACUUCAUGAUUUUUUUGUCAAACGUAAUUUUUUUCUCAGACAAGUUUUUGUUGUCUUUUGUUUCAGUUUUUUUAUCGAGAGUGGACCGCAAAGAGGAGGCAAGUGAACCGCGACAUAUAUCAAAGUGAACCUCAUUACUAUCUUUGUUGUUGCGCUAAAUUUUUAGCACUUUUCACUUUUGGGCACAAGUGAACAACAUCACUCUCAAAAGUGAACCACAUCCGAGGACCAAAAGCACUGCAUGCAUUGAUAUAGUCGACUGAUUUUUAAAGCACACAAAACAAAUUACACUUCAUACAUAGGGGGUAAUAAGCUGCAACACAAAUGUUACUUAUCAUUAUUAUCCUUUUGCUUUUGUUUUUGUGCACUAUUACAUAGAGAACUGUCCCCCCACGACAAGUGAACCGCACCAAAAUUCAUAAAUCAAAACAACAAAUCAAGGGCAAUACAAACUGAACAUGAGAUAGCUUUUCUCUCAAGAGAAAAAAACAUAUGAAACCACAAAAGGUAUUGCAUGCUCAUAUCUUUCCUAAGCACUCCACCCGCACAUACCAACAAAACUGUACUCAAAUGAAAAAAGUAACAGGAACAAAAGUGCAAACUAGAAGCAUUUUACAAUCUGGCCGGGUUGGCAAUGUUGUGGCAUGCGAGCACUGCACGCGCUACUUUGCCAAACUGCAUGCACAUGCCUGCCGUACUUCACGCCUACAUGCCGCAAACUGCUAAGGGGGACUUCAUCAUGCGAAUGUCACAAGGCGGGCUCUAAAUAUGAUUAGGCAAGCCUAUACGUCGAUGCAAGGUGCACUACAACAAUAGAGCGAAUAAAAGUUAACUUUGGCACAAUUUUUUGGUCUUUUUCAGUCUCGGUAAGAACAAAGUGAGCUGCAACGGAAUUAGUUAGAGAGCAUACAAAAUAAAGAGAAAUCAAAUUAUACAGCAUACAAUUUUUUUGAAGCCCACGAACUGAAGCCAUGGGCUGGCCAUGGCCGCGCUAGCCCAACUGUAGAGGAAACUUGCCAGAACCUCGCCGCCGAUGGAACUCGUUCAUACUCGCGGCGGUGCUUCACCGAACUGCAGUGUACUGGAUGGAAUCUUCGGUGGUGGGGAAGCACCAUCCGCUUCCUCUUGCGCAUUCUGCAACAGAUCCAGUGGCUGGGUUACGCGAGGUGAGGCCGGUGGUGCUCACCGUUGCCGAGGCGCAUGGUGGCCACAACCUAGACCGUGACCUGGUCGUUGACGGCGGGGAAGGGGGCGCACAACCUCAGAGGGAGGGAAGGGAGGUGUGGCUCAGUGGCCGUGGAUGUCGACGGUGGCUGGAGAGGACGAACCCCGUCUGUGCCUAGCCAUGGACGGAGAGGAAGACACCGGGGCAGGGAGAUGGGAGACGGUGAAGGAACGGGGAGGGGAGAGUCGCCGGUGACCCCCGAGCCCCUCGGAUCCCACACGAUCCAUGAAUCCAGCUGCCCCCUUGACCCGGUGGUUGGUACUUGGUAGGGACGGCAACGCACGAAUCUGAGGCCGACCACGCGCGGGCAGGAAGGAGGAAGCGUGCCCAGAUCUCGUCGUUGUUGGAAGGAAGGGUGUGCGCCGGCCCGCCGGUUCCAUGUUGUUGCUGGAGGGGCGAGGACGAGGGGAGUUGGAGGGGGUUGGGGGCAGUCGCCGGGACAAUGCAGGGGACCGGCGACGCUCGGUCCCGGCGCUUGGGCGGUGCAGCGGGGUUGGAUCCGUCGCCUGACCGCCGCGUCAUGGCCGGAUCCAUGGCCCGGGCGACGCGGAGGUGCGCGAGGCGCGAGGGUGCUGGGGACACGGUGACGCGGGGGCGCGAGGGAGGUGGCGGCGGUGCUACAGCGGGGGCGCGGGGAGGAAGGAGGCGGCGCUGCAGCGGGGGCGCGGGGAGGGAGGCGGCGGCGCCAUGGGAUGGAGGAGCACGGGGGAGAGAUGAGUGGGGUGGGGUAGGUCGUGGGAUGGAGGAGCACGGGGGAGAGAUGAGUGAGGUGGGUAGCACCGUGGCAGAGAUAAGGUGGUUUUUGUGUGUGCGCAGUUCGGUCGACCAUCGUAAGUGGUUAGGUUGUAGCUGCGGGGUUGGUCGGGAGGUGUUAGCAGAAUAAGAAAGUGGUGUGUAGAAUAAGACUCUUAAGGGUGUUAUCAUAAUAGACCCACCCUAUAUAUAUAUAUAUAUAUAUAUAUAUAUAUAUAUAUAUAUAUAUAUGUUGAAACUAUCCUCGAGAUAAAAACAAGUUGGGUGCUGAACACUAUAAACCCCAUCUUCCUAUGUGUUUGACAUAAACGUUUGCUCUAUAAAUAUGACGUGAGUGUCAGCAAUCACAAAAGACUAAAUGAUAGUUUAGUAUGUGAACUUGCUAAAUAAAGCGCUUACAUAGUCUCUUUCUGAAAAUAUGAUGGAUUAUGAUUGUUUCAAUGAUUGAGAUCAUAGUUUGUUAGUUUCCAAUGAAAUUUAUGGUUCAUACUUUAGUUUGUGAAUGAAUAUUUACUUUAGCAUGUGAGGUUUUAUGGUGAUAUAUUGAUGAUAUGAUAAUGAGCAUGAUGCUUUCAUGUCUGUAUUUUGUUUUUAUCGACAUCUCUCUCGCUCUAAACAUGUGGUCAUGAUUAUCAAUUCGGCUUUCGCUUGAGGACAAGCGAGGUCUAAGAUGUGUGUGUGUGGGGGGGGGGUUGAUACGUCCAUUUUGCACCAUGUUUUCCUACUGUUAUUUAUUCUGUUUUCGAUUGUUAUUUCACUUUAUGAUGCAAUUCUUAUGCAUUUUCUCUCUUAUUUUGCAAGUUUCACAUGAAUAUGGAGAUUGUCGGCAGCUAGAAUUCUAGAAUGAAAAAGGCUACAACAGAGAUAGCUAUUCUGCACAACUCCAAAUGACCUGAAAAAUACAGAGAAUUGUUUUGGAAUAUAUAAAAAAAUAUUGGAGGAAGAAAUACCAGGGAGCGACUAGCUGAGGGGGCACGCCCUACCCCCUCGGUGCGCCCUAUGAGCUUGUGAGCUCAAUGGCAGGCCUUCGGUACUCAUCUUCUGCUAUAUGAAGCCAUUUGCCCUAGAAAAAAUAAGAAGAAGACUUUUGGGAUGAAGCGCCUCCAUCUCGAGGCAAAACCUGGGCAGGAGCAAUUUUGCUCUCCGGUUGAGCGAUUUUGUCGGGGUAACUUCCCUCCGGGAGGGAGAAAUCGAAGCCAUCGACAUCACCAAUGAUCCUCUUUUCAAGGAAGGACCAAUCUUCAUAAACAUCUUCACCAAGACCAUCUCAUCUCAAACCCUAGUUCAUCUCUUGUAUUAAAUCUUUGUCCCAAAACCUCAUAUUGGAACAUGUGGGUUGCUAGUAGUGUUGAUUACAUCUUGUAGUUGAUGCAAGUUGGUUUAUUUGGUGGAAGAUUAAAUGUUUAGACCCUCAAGCAUAUUCAAUACACCUCUGAUCUCGAACAUGAAUAUGAUUUGUGAAUAGUUACUUUUUUUCUUGAGGACAUGGGAGAAGUCUUUUCAUAAGUAAUCAUGUGAUGUUGGCAUACGUUCGAUAUUUUGAUGAUAUGUAUGUUGUUGUUUCCUUUAGUGGUGUCAUGUGAACGUCGACUAUAUGACACUUCACCAUACUUGGGACUAAGAGAGGACAUUGUGUAGUAAUAAGUAGAUGAUGGGUUGCUAGAGUGACAGAAUCAUAAACCCUAGUUUAUGCGUUAUUCGGUAAGGGGCUGAUUUGGAUCCAUAUGUUUCAUGCUACGGUUAGAUUUAUCUUAAUUCUUCUUUUAUAGUUGCGGAUGGUUGCGAGAAGGGGUAAUCAUAACCCAAGCACCGAUCCACCCACAUAUCAAAUUAUCAAAGUAGAAAACACGAAUCAACUAAACAUGAUGAACGUGACUAGAUGACAAUUCCCAUGUGUCCUCGAGAGCACUUUGCUUUACACAAGAGAAAGUUCCUGCUUGUCCUUUGCUAUAAAAAGUAUUGGGCAACCUUGCUGCACCUUGUUACCAUUGUUACUUGUUACUUGCUACGAAUUAUCCUACUACAAAACUAUAUGUUACUGUUACUUCCAGUGCUUGCAGAAAAUACCUUGCUGAAAAUCGCUUGUCAUUUUCUUCUACUCCUUGUUGCAUUCAACACUCUUACUUAUCGAAAGGAGUACAAUUGAUCCCCGAUACUUGUGGGUCAUCAGUAUGCAUCAACACAAUGAGCUGAGACAUGCAACACAUACUACACAACGCCCGUUUUGUUGUUUUUUAGCUGGAGAAGCUUUUCAUUUUGCAUUAUUAUUGGGUUUUACUCUAGUUACAUGAAAACCUGUGCACACACGUCAUGUUUAUUGGAUAGCUAAGGUGCAUGCAUACCAAGCACCAUGCAAGUUGCAGAGAGUUCUAUCACUGGCUAGCCGACAAUGCGUCGCCCCCCUCCAUCCGACACAUUAUCGGCAGCUGUGUCGCGGGUUGCUGCACCUUUGCCACCUUUGGGCUGGCCGUUUGCUGCUCUGUGUUAACAUGGUAUGGGUUGUCGUAGCCUUGUUGCUCUUGUCCUGAUUGCUGCCCUUGUCCUAGUUGGUGUCCUUGUCCUGAUUGUUGCCCUUGUCCUGACUGUUGCCCUUGUCCUGACUGUUGCAGAGAAAUUGGGUAGUACCCUUGUUGCCCUUGUCCUGGUUGUUGCACUUGUCCUAUUUGUUGGCCUUGUCCUGGUUGUUGCGCUUGUCCUGUCUGCUGCGGAGAAGUUGGGCAGUGCCCUUGUUGCCCUUGUCCUGGNNNNNNNNNNNNNNNNNNNNNNNNNNNNNNNNNNNNNNNNNNNNNNNNNNNNNNNNNNNNNNNNNNNNNNNNNNNNNNNNNNNNNNNNNNNNNNNNNNNNNNNNNNNNNNNNNNNNNNNNNNNNNNNNNNNNNNNNNNNNNNNNNNNNNNNNNNNNNNNNNNNNNNNNNNNNNNNNNNNNNNNNNNNNNNNNNNNNNNNNNNNNNNNNNNNNNNNNNNNNNNNNNNNNNNNNNNNNNNNNNNNNNNNNNNNNNNNNNNNNNNNNNNNNNNNNNNNNNNNNNNNNNNNNNNNNNNNNNNNNNNNNNNNNNNNNNNNNNNNNNNNNNNNNNNNNNNNNNNNNNNNNNNNNNNNNNNNNNNNNNNNNNNNNNNNNNNNNNNNNNNNNNNNNNNNNNNNNNNNNNNNNNNNNNNNNNNNNNNNNNNNNNNNNNNNNNNNNNNNNNNNNNNNNNNNNNNNNNNNNNNNNNNNNNNNNNNNNNNNNNNNNNNNNNNNNNNNNNNNNNNNNNNNNNNNNNNNNNNNNNNNNNNNNNNNNNNNNNNNNNNNNNNNNNNNNNNNNNNNNNNNNNNNNNNNNNNNNNNNNNNNNNNNNNNNNNNNNNNNNNNNNNNNNNNNNNNNNNNNNNNNNNNNNNNNNNNNNNNNNNNNNNNNNNNNNNNNNNNNNNNNNNNNNNNNNNNNNNNNNNNNNNNNNNNNNNNNNNNNNNNNNNNNNNNNNNNNNNNNNNNNNNNNNNNNNNNNNNNNNNNNNNNNNNNNNNNNNNNNNNNNNNNNNNNNNNNNNNNNNNNNNNNNNNNNNNNNNNNNNNNNNNNNNNNNNNNNNNNNNNNNNNNNNNNNNNNNNNNNNNNNNNNNNNNNNNNNNNNNNNNNNNNNNNNNNNNNNNNNNNNNNNNNNNNNNNNNNNNNNNNNNNNNNNNNNNNNNNNNNNNNNNNNNNNNNNNNNNNNNNNNNNNNNNNNNNNNNNNNNNNNNNNNNNNNNNNNNNNNNNNNNNNNNNNNNNNNNNNNNNNNNNNNNNNNNNNNNNNNNNNNNNNNNNNNNNNNNNNNNNNNNNNNNNNNNNNNNNNNNNNNNNNNNNNNNNNNNNNNNCCUAUUUGCCGCCCUUGUCCUAGUUGUUGCCCUUGUCCUAUUUGCUGCCCUUGUCCUGGUUGUUGCCUUUGUCCUGGGUGUUGCGGAGAAGUUGGGUAGUACCCUUGUUGUCCUUGUCCUAUCUGUUGCCCUUGUCCUGGCUGCUGCAGAGAAGUUGGGUAGUAUCCUUGUUGCCCUUGUCCUAUCUGUUGCCCUUGUCCUGGUUGCUGCAGAGAAGAUGGGUAGUACCCUUGUUGUCCUUGUCCUGACUGAUGCAGAGAAGUUGGGUAGUACCCUUGUUGCCCUUGUCCCAGUUCUUGCCAUUUGCCUGGCUGUUGCCCUUGUCCUGGCUGUUGUGGAGAAGCUUGGCCUGGAUAAUAUGGCCCCUGCUGAGGAGAACUUACGCUUGGGUAAUACCCUUGUACUGUUUGUGAAGAUGUUCCCCAAAAUAUUACUUGUUGGAGUUGCUGCAGUGGUGUGGUCUCGCCAGGGUAGAAGGAUCCGCCCUUGGGCGGCACCACGGUUUGCUCAUAUUGUCUUACGACUUGGCUGACGGCGACGAGACGGCACUUAGCGCUAACAUCUCGGAGCUGCUGGCAGCAUCGCAUCUGGAGCCCCGUGCUCCAUGGCAGCCGACCGGCCAACUGUUGGUCCACGACCUGUCGGCAUGCCUCAAGCGAGCUCUCCUGGAGCUCGCGCUCACACUGUAGUUGCCUAGAGGCCUCACCUUCAGCAGCAGUGAGAGCCACGAGGGUGAUGACUACUGUCGCAAAGAGGACCAACCGCUUAGCCAUCUCGAUGGACUGUUAGUGAAUUGAUCUCUAUUUUGUGGUGCUCGGUGUUGUGGGUGAUGAUGAGAUUGUGGAGAUUGGUUGGGCUUUUAUAGGGACGUGGUGAAGGUUCGGGACAAUGGUUG